rnacentral:lncRNA from 1 species
AUCUGACAAAUGUUACACUCAUGGUUUUAUUAUCCAUCAACUUUGUCUUUCUCACUAUGCUUAAUGUUAGAGAAAACAAAUACACUUUUGGUUCUGUUGGUGUUUUCCACCAACAGGGCCCAUGCACUUGAUCUCUGCCUUGUCUCUAUGAGCAGGUACACUUUAAGCAAACUAUGAAGGACUUUUACAACUCCCAGACUACACCAAGUGAAGAACCUAGAUCUACGAGUACAAACAUAAUGGAGAUACUGCACACUCAGGCAAUCACUGCCUUAAGAUGCUUGAGGACGUAACUAUGAGAGUAACCCCGUUGUGGAAGUAAUUACUGACCUUCUGCUGGUUAAGAGAGGCGAUCCAGGACGCACCGUCAUCCCGAUCUCCAUCGGCAUGGUGGACUUCCAAGAAGCACUCUACAACUUUGGCUCCAGCGUCAACAUUAUGCCCAAGGGAAUAUUGAAGAACCUCUACGUCCGAGUUGGUACCUUGGAGGCCAUUCCUAAACACUUCGGGAGCUGUCAUCUACGCUAGUGCUGCCAAGAUCAGUUUCUACAUCAAGGGGAAGAAGGAGAUGUUUUCCUUCAAGAAACAAGACUACACAAAAUCCCAGAGCAAUCCCGACAUGAACCAAGGAAGAGGACCAACAGGAGGAAUAGGAACAAGCAAAUGUGUACCGAGUCAGCUAAGAUGGUCACUGCAGCUCAAGGAGGUCAAGAUCGUCAACUCAAGUCACCUUUCUUGAUCAAGAAGGACGACCCUGGUGUUCCAAGCAUCGAGUGCACAAUCAACGGAUAUUCUUUUCAGAAGACACUCUACGACACCGGAUCUAACGUCAACAUAAUGGCCGCAGUCACUUAUCAGCUCCUGCAUGGAACCAUGUCCCUACAACCAACAUACAUUCAGCUCCAGAUGGCAGAUCAGACAUUCUGAAAGAUUGAAGAUUAUUGACAUGGGAGAAGACGAGUACGAUCCACCCAUCAUCCUUGGAAGACCGUUCUUUAGCACCAUUAAAGCAAUCAUAUACAUUGGAACCAGAGAAGUCCACAUGCACUUCCUCUCAGAGAAGGUACGCCACUGUUUUACUGACCCUAACUAUAUAGUUGAAGACUCUAAGUAGGUCAGGACAAGAAGAUGACGACGCAACCGCAACCAGAGGAGGCAAAUCAUCAAGGACGGAUGGGUAGACUCCGAAGGAGAAGUAGUAAGGUCUGAAGACAUACAGCUUGAUCAGAAUUGUCCUGAGGAGACCGUAGCACCGAGUCAGGUGUGGAGAGAGAAGAUAGUUAUACAUGAAGAGCAGGCGCCGCCGGAACCACCGACUACGCCAUCCAGCGAAUCCCAGGACGACUGAGAAAACGGAGAGUCCCGUUCGGAGGACUUAAAAACACCGAACACCUUGCCAAGAGGUAAACUUGGUAGUUAUCUUUUUCCUUUCAAUUAUUUUAAAAUAGUUUGCUUAGUUAAUCAGGUUCACAUCAUCUUAAAAAGAAAAUAAAAAUGUUAAAAAUAGUAAGUCCCAUGUGAGUAUGCUCAUGGCAUAAAACCCAUAAGUACAUUCACUGUGGUGGCAUAAAAAUAAAAUAAAUAUAUUCCUGUCCUAUAAAAAUAAAAUUAUAAAAAUAAAUUUAUGAUCCUACUAAAGAGUGUAACAUUUAUUGAGGAGGCUCAACAAGAUAAAGGCUAGAUAUUUAUGCUAACACUUAACCAGUUCCACAAAGCUUUGUUGUCUAUUUGAGCUCCACAGAAUUCAAGGAUCAAAGAAGACUAGCAGACGGAGGAUAUCCUAAUCGCUGUCAAGGUGCUGCCGACAUUCAAAUACAUCUCCGCCACCUGCUAGCUACAUCAGAAGAAACUACGUCAAAAUCCAGCUUGGGGGAGAGCACCCCUAUUUAUCCAGCUAAGUAUUCUACUCACGUUUAUACUUUACUCUAAUAAUAAAAUGGUGCAUAAUCAUAGAAACCCAAAUAAAGAUUUUGUGCUUAUAUAUAUCUUUGCUUAGUUUGCUAAAUAAAUAAAUAAAUAAAGUCUGCUAUGAACCCUCAUGAUAAGCUCUCACAUGGAAAUGAUGAAUAAUUGCUCUACCAUGGCUAGUUCUCAAAAUUGAAAUCUCUCUCAAGUUUAGGCAUCACUGUUAUGAAUUAAGAUUUGCUCUAAACCUGAACUUGUGGGAGAGUACUUGAUCUGAAGUCUAAGUCGUUAACGGAUAUGAUAUGGGAAGGUUGAGCUGCUGUUUAUCUGUUCCUAGAGAUGCUAGAAUUCUGGAGAAUUUUAUCUUUGAAAAUCUUUAAAAUGUUACAUGAUGAGUUCUUGUAGGAUGAGAGUUUAAAUUCCUACCACAGCCAUAUAUACAUGCUUGCUAAACUUUGAGCCACACAUUUACUUUUUACUGCUUAUGAGCAUUGAGUGUGGUCAAGCUGUGUAGACCCUUAGGAGCUUGUCAUGUGGUUAAAAUCAAGAUUCACUUGCAUGUUCACUCAUACAUGUUGCUUCUACUCCGGAAGUACGCAUCCACAUAUAUCCAUCCAUUUCCAUCUCCAGAACCACCCAAAAAUAUUCUACUCCUAAUCAGGGAGAGAAUAGCCAAAAACAUUUCUGUUUUCCCUUGUGAAAUAAAUGCUCAAGUUAUCUUGUUACUACCACUUGCUAUAUUAUCUCAUGAGAUGAGUGCUCUAAAAAAAGAAAAGAAAAAAAAGAUACGAGGAAAUAAAAAGGGGCAAGUGCCCGGAACCUCGAAAGAAAAGAAAAAGUGAGAUGAGAGGUAAAAAUGGACAAGUGUCCGACAGUAGAAUUAGGGGUACAAGAUACCCACCUGAGAGAAAAGAAAAAAAAGAAAAUAUAGAGCAUCUCAUUCUCCUCAAAAAGUUUUAAAAGAGCAAGAAAGGUAUGUAUCCCCUCAAAAGAGCACAAGUAGAAUUAGACUUUCACCAUUGUUAUCACCAUCAUCACCAUACACCAUUCAUUCGCCACACAUGCACAUCUUCAUUUUACUUAUUGACUUGUUCUUCUAGAUCCAUGGUUUGACUAUGCAAUAAAUGUCUUGUAAGUAUGUAUUAGCUGUCUCCCACCUAUGAGCUCCAGAUAUCAAAAGCCUUAUUAGAGUAGGGUGAGAGAGAAGGCAAUGUCACUAUGCCUUAUACUACAAAUACCACAUACUUUGAGAGAAGGCAUAUACCAUUACUGCCUUGGUAAGGAUCAGAAAUACCUCAAAAGAGAGACUAGAGAGAGUCAUACAAGGAAUCUCUGAGUUUUAUUUGAAAAUCUGCAAAAACUCCAGAGCUAUAGCUGAUCAAGAAUAAGAGACAUGGUGCUUGACUAGACCGUUCUAUCUUUUAACUACUCAAGACAGAAGUGACGGUUACAAGUCCCAUGGUGAAAGGUAAAUGAGUAAGUUUUAAGUCUUAACAGUUUACUCUAACCAGAGAUGAGAUCUUGUUUAAACGCAUGUGGAUCUUUAAGUUAUGAAACCACUGCAGAAACUCUUGAGUUCAUCUUUGCUCAGGGACGAGCAAAGGUUAAGCUUGGGGGAGCUUGUUGACGGUCCUUAAUGCUCACAUUUAACCAUCAACUAAUCAUAGAAAAGGAUCCAAAUGCAACCAACACCUAGACUUAGGGUUUUAUCUGACAGAAUUCCACAAGUUUUGGUGUUUGUCUAUUUCUGCAGGGAGUUAUCAGGAAAUACGGAAGAAAGGCCCACACGUCGGGUUUACAUAGAGAUAUUAAUGUGCCGCGCAAUUUUCUAUCAUCUAGAAGACUCCAGAAGCCACGGGACCGAACCGGAGGCCGAGAGGACACAGGGACAGGGCGCCCGCCCUCCUUUCCUGGGCGCCCGCCCUCAGCCAGAGUCCAAUCAGGACUCUCUUUCGGGAUAUUGCUCCACCGACCUAAAGGAUCAAGGAAAACCACACGAUCAAUGUCGGUUUGAUCCAACGGCCCAGAUUCACUUGAAGGGACUAUAAAACCAGACCCCCCUGGCCCCUGGAGAUCAUACCUCUUCUACAGAAUCAAAGCUAGGGUUUCAAUUCUUCAUCCAAGUAGAGAGGAUCCCUCUAGUUCUUCUAGUUCUAUCUCUAGUUCAUCUAGAUCUAGUUCUAGUUCAUCUAGUUCUAGUUCUAGUUCCUCUAGUUCUAGUUCUAGUUAGUUCUAGUUGUAAUCUAGAAAAUAGGGAGAGAGAAGAGGAGAGCAGAGGAGGAGGAGCCGGAUCUGUCGGAUCUUCCUCAACAUUAUACUUUUGCAGCAUCUGGUUUGUUCUUCAUCGUUCUCCAGGUUCUUCAAUUCAUAAUCCUGAGUUCUCUAAUUACUUUUAUUUACAUUCAAGUAAUUUAUUGGAUUCCCGCUUGCAUCAAGUGCUCUAGUCUUUAUAACGCUAGAGUAGUAAUUAAUAGAUUAGACGUGGUGUUUAGUCUUGCGAUUAUCUAGAAUUGCACCCAAUCCUGCGGAUUGUUGUGGUAGCCUUAGGGUAGUGACAGCCCUAACGGUCGACGUAUUCCACCACGUUCGGAUCGGUGUUUGUAGGACCGUAGUCAGACCUUCCUAGCCCCCUUCUCAUCUCUUUCCGCGGUUAGUGCUCUGAUGUCCCGAUAUAGAUAAUCUUGAAGUAAUUCUUGAUUCUUAGAUCAACUAGAGAACUCUCAGGAAACUUCCUCUCUUCCCACCAAAAAUAAUUAUAUAGUUAUCCUUGGGCGAUCUUGGAUCUUAAUUAGUACACUCACGUUCCCUGUGGAAAAUCGAUACUCUGGAAUACUCCCGGGUGAAGGCUACAUCGGUAUCCGUGCGCUUGCGGAUUUUUCUGUUUGCGUUUAAAAUACCCAACAAAGACCAAGAAUGUGAUUCUUAGGAACAAGCAUAAAGAACUAAACAUGUUGAGCUAAUUAGAUUGGAUCAAAUGAGGUUGUAACUCAAAGCAUGUUUGGUUCUCUACUUAUGUGCAUGAUAGGAUUAAGGAGGAUAAUUUGGAAAUAAAGAUCACUUACCAAGAGAUGUUACCCUAGUAUUGAAACAUGUUGAAGCCAUAACAUCUUGUAGAAGCUUUCCUUUCUUGGCUAGUCAUGUGCCUUGCUCAUGGACAACUUGUCUCCUUUGUUGUACUCCUUUCUUACCUUAUGCCAUUAUUUGCUCUCCGUCUAAUUUGUGCUUGGACCUUUAGCUCUUCUUAUUAUUUUAUCCCUAUAAAUCAUUAGUGGACAACACAUACCUGAAGGAGUAUACAAAUAAUGACAAGGGCAUAUUGUUGUAACACAAAGCUAAGGGGCACUUUCUAUGCUACAAAAGAAGUUGUUUUAACAUACUUAUCAUAGCACAUUUAUUAUUCACAAUUACUUAUUUCUAAUGGAUUGAUUUUAUUUUCCCAAGUUAUGUUUUGAUUUUUAAAUAUAGGCAUUAUGAAUCAACUCAAACUCAUAGAAAUAAAGCAAUAGUGAAUUUAGGGAUUGCAAACCAGCAUAUGGAGCGAUGAGGAAGAACUUGGUUGGAUCAUCUAGAGGAGUUGACCUUCUUCCUCAUGUCUCAACUUCUCAACCUCAUAGGUGAGAGUGCAGAAUGUUGCAUGCUUUUCUCUUGUCAAUCAUUUCUUGAUUCUUGAUAAUUAGUGGUUGACAAGAGAAUGCAACUCCAUGGAGUAAGUGCUUUGAUGAUGGAUCAUGUUUUGUGGCACCCUUCUGUCUUCUUGGCUACGAGUGAGUUGUGUCUCUCUUGUGCACAAUUAUUGUGUCUCUCUUCAUCUCUAGUGUGAGUUCAUCCCAGGACUUUCCCAAUUUGUAUUUGAGAUUCUCCUGCAGGGGUUAGUCCAACAAAAAUAUUCCAAUAUCUACUAUAGCAUACUAUCAGCUCAAAAAUCAACAUAGACACCAUGUCUAAUUUGAUUCAAGAAGGCAUUUUCACCUAAGCACCAUGCUUAAUUUAAAAGCCUUUUAGAAGUAAGAUCAACACACCUUUUGGUCCAAAAAUUAAACUAGACACCUUGUCUAAUAUAAGUCAAAACAAUAGUUUAAACUAAGCACCUUGCCUAAUUUUAAAAGGUGUCUAAAAAGACUUCAAAAGUCUACGCAUACUAUAGUAAACAAAGGUAGCAUGAGAGCAUUAUAGUGAUUUACUCAAUAGUGAUGAUAGAGUAUGAUCGCAAUGAGAAAUAUUAUUAUAUUUUUAGAUGUAGAUGAAUUGUAUGUAUGCAAGGAACUAAACAUGAUGUGGAUGAGAAAACUAAAUGAAGUGGAUGCAUGGAUGAUUCAAAGUAGACAUGUAGUGGUAUGCGAGGAAAUAAAAAUAUAACUACUCAUAAGUUUUAAAGCCUAGUAAGACUAUCUCACCCUGAUCAUACUUGCCUUGAUGCACAACUGGGAUGAGUGGUGUAGCAUAAAUAUCUGUCACAUGUGAUGGGGGUUGUAUUAUUGUGACGACAACCUUUUCUCCAAUCUACACAUGGUUAGAAUAAAUAAUAUAUAUGUGUAUACACAAACUUGUGAGAUGGCAGGGUUCUUGAAUGAUGGAUCUUGAAUGUUCAAACACUCUGGGUUCUUUAAUUUUGUGGAAUCUUGUCACAAGGUCGAAGCGGCAUCUGAUGUCCUAUCUAUUCCACACUCAACAGAACAAAGGGGUAAUCCUACUAAAGCUAAUUGUACACUAAAUUAGCAAACAUCAAGGUUGUUAUUAGAAUCUUUAUGCCAAUUGCUUCCCCGGCAACGGCGCCAAAAAUGUUUGUUGGCAUUUCUUAAUGCAAUCACCAAAGAUACGCAAAAAGCCUAAUCCCCAGCAGCAGCGCUAGAAAUGCUUAAUGACAUUUGUUAGUGCAAAAAGAAUUAUAAAAGAUUCCACAAGCGCACAAAACAUCAUCGUAGCAUUUUACCGGGAGUAUUCCAAGUAUCGUUAUUUACAUUUUACCACAGGGAAGCAGGGUUAAGAAUCUAAUAAUUCACUAUCCUACAUCUACUAACUUAGAGUAUCAACUAAACUAAUGUAGGGGUAAAUAAUGUACUAUAAGAUAAUAGCAUAUAAGAGAAUUCAAUGAUAAAUGUAUAGAUAGUCAUAGCGGGAGGACAACGAGAAAGAUCUAGGUUCAUUUGUACUUCUCUAUUACUUAGGUUCUAAGGCAACAGAAUAUGAAAAGAUAUAGCAAUCAUACAAUGGCACUUUGGAGCAACAGUACCUUUCCGACUCUCGAAAGAGACUGGAAGAAGGUAGUCAGGGGAAGGCUGCCAAGAAGCUCUACGAAACAUCAAUCCGAACGUGGUGGAAUACAAAGGCCUAACAGGGCUGUCACCCCUGGGGCUACCACAACUAUUUGUGGGAUUGAGCGCAACCUCAAGUAAACUAUAGCCUAGACACCAUGUCUACACUAGCGUUCACUGCUCUAAUUACCAUGAAUAACUAGAGCACUCAAUACGAGCAAAGAUCCCAUGCCAAGAUAUAACAACUACACUAAUCAUAAAGAGGCACAAACUAAAUAGAAAAGAUAAUAUAUUAAAGCAUAAGUUUUACAAAUAAGAGAUAUGAAAACAUACCAAAACUCUGAAGAAAACUCCUCCAGAACCAGAGCAUAGCUCCGCUCUCCCUAACUCCCAAUUAGAACUAAUCUACUACAUUGGAAUGUCUAGCCCUAAUUCUCUAGAGAAGAGAGGUCAUCCAUUCGAGGGAUGUCUCUACAACUCAUAAUGAUUCUCCUCCCAAGGGGUUAGUCUUGUAUUUGUAGGGGGCAUCUGGCCCCUCCUCUACCUUGAACUAGUGAUGUGGUACUAAUCUUUCCACCCCCUAGGAGGAACCAUAGCCCUUGGAUCAAACCGACUUAAACGUGCGCUUAAGAUUAAUCCUCAAAGGCGGUGGAUCAGGAAUCCGUGAACCAGAGCCUGAUUGAUUGAGGUAGUCGGGCGGCCGCCCAAGGGGGUGGAGCGGGCGCCCAUCCCUUGUGGCCGUUUGCCUUCUUGUUUGUUCUGGUGUCUUCUCGAACCUUCUAGACUCAAGAAAAGUGUAUUUUCUUGUGAAAUUCAUAUUCCUUCAUCCGAGACUCCAAAUAUGGCAAAUGAUAUAUGGAUUUCAAUCAUCUCGAUGAGCCUGUCACCAUGGUGAAGUCCAAUUCAUCAAUUGAGAUACUUUUAUUCAAUGAUUAGUAUGCCUUUAACUCUUUUCCUAUGUGACCCCUACAAAACAUAGAUGUACCAAAACUCAUGGAAUUUGUUAGUUCCAACCUCUAAACCUAUGUUGAUGAGCAUCUCUUUGUAGUUAUAAAAGUUAUGUUGACAGUUAAAAAUAGGAGUUAACUACCAUCAACAGUCACCAUGUGUGAGGGGUUCCUAGGGAUCACCCCUCACUCAGAGCUAUAGCUCCACCUGUUCUGGGCGGACAUCUUGUCAAAGUCUGGUGGGACCGGCUAGCCCCAGAAGCCAUUGAGGGCCAGUGGCUAUACUCUCCAGGUGUGCCAGCGGAAGUCUCACCUCUACAUUCAUGCCUUGCUUUAGUCCUCCAAACGAGGCUAUCAGGAGGGGUAGUUGUACCUCCACAACGACCUCAACAUGCUGCCCCCUAUACUGGGAAGGUGGUGAGCGAAUGGCCCAAGAAGUGGAAGUGGGGUGUUCCCAUAGAGGAUCAACCAACGUUGGACCUGCUCCUCGAGGGAGUGGAGAGGCUCUAUGGUAAGGGUCUCAUAGCGGCCGGCGUGUCAACUGCUUUCCAUAUGCGAAGAGCCCUCCUGCUAGCACAGUGCCCACUUUUCAUGUACUAGAUGGGCUCAACAGCAUCGCUAGAGGGAACACAGAUGUCCUCCUAGGCUCUCCCUAUGGGGGAGGUCACUAAGCGUGUGACUUACACCAUGUCGUUGGGUUUGGCAGAAAACUUCUAGGUCUUCACAAUGCAACAUAGGAGGGGUAUAUUUACGUAGUAAGAGCCUUCAAAGGGAAGACCUCUACCGUUAGUGCUCUAACCUAGUAGUCGAGGCUCAAGCGUUGUAGGGGAAGAUCACCCCUUUGGUGGAGAGGGUGGAGUCACUAGAGGAGGCCCUUGUGUAGGAGUCAAACGAGCAGAGCAUCCUCACAGGAACUUUUUGGGAUGAGCUCACAUGGGUCAAGGCUGCCUUGGCAGUGCAGAACCAUGCCCUGGCCUAGGCCACUAGGGACCUAGACGAGCCUCGAGGUUUUACCCGUUGAUGGGAAGGGAAGGCAAAGAAGGAGGAGGAAGAGGCAUGGGGUAUGUUUUCUUUCUUGAAUGUGACCUUCAUCAUGUCAUCCUACCUCAGGUCCUAACCAUUAGUCUUGAUUUAUCACAAAGCUAGCGAGGAAGCAAUCUGAGGCCAACUCAACGGUUGCAGCCCUGUAGGCUGCCCUAAACAUGGAGUCCAUGGAGCAUAACGCUCUACGAACUAUCAUUACCUCAGUUUGUGACACGCUUGAGGCUGAGGAUAACCGCUCUGACAAAGUCACAUGGCCUCCCUCUACACCUAGGUGGGCAAGAGGCUGUAAGAUGCCCUCGACACUAGUGUGAAGCGUGCCUUGGCCGUCGUGAGCUCCCACUACCUCGGUGUUGAUCUCCUAGCCAUUAGCAAGGGGUACAUCAUUGACAAUGAUGAGAAGUCUAAGAAGGAAGUGCUAAAGCUUGCCGAGGCGGUCGACGCCCCUAGCAAUGCCUUGGCCACCCUGAUUGAAUAGGAGGUGGCACUCCCCCUGCUAGACCUAUAGAGUAGGAGUGAGGUAGGGCCGUAGUGCCCUUGUAAAAGUUAUGUUUUUUGUCCUUUAUCAGACUUUGUGGCCUUCUGAGGCCUUUUUAAACUCUACUAAGUCUCUUUUUAACUUUUGUAAAUUAUGCCUGAAAUAGUGGAGUCUCAGUUGCUUAUUAUUUUUGUCAAAUGGUCUAGCCUCGGUAGUGCAAGGUGAGGUUCAAUGUUAAGCAAUUUUGACCCAAGGCUUACUUAUGUUAUGAGUCUAAAAUUCUAUUUGAAUGUUCUGGGGCCUAGCCUUUGCUUCACUUUGAUUGUAAUCCAUACAAAGUCCUUUUCAAAAUUGUGUAGCCGAUCCUUUCGGUCAAAGGGAUGGUGAGUAGGAAUGUCAUAGCUCAUAAGCAUAGACAGUUCCUAGCUCAUCUAGGCCUAGCUCCUUUAGGAUGGUCUUUUGAUUUUUAGGUCUCUAUGAGUUCUUUUGUCAAAGUGAGCAAUAAGGCUAGAGUCAUAAUAUUCUUAUCUUAAGGGUGAUUGAAAAAAAUGAGACUAGGGGUCUCCCCCUUGUAGGCCUUGAGGGAGGCUUGGUUUUUGUUGAGGUAGAGCUGAGGCUCGCACUUGAGCUUUGAAAAUUUAAAGUGCUGCCGAGCCCCGACCUAAGGCUUGGGUGAGAUCUUAAGAAAAUUUACACAAUGCUUAAAGAUAUUUCUUUAUUGCUUUCUUGAGACAAGGGUAUGUAUAGUGCUUGGUAUUUAAGGGUAAAAACAAUGUAGUUGUUUGAUGUUCUAGGCAUUGGUGUAGACUUCUCCCUUCUCGUUAGCCAGCAUAUACGUUCUAGGUUGGAGUACCUCGAUGAUGAUGAAAGGACCCUCUUAGGGAGGGGUGAGCUUGUGGCAUCCAUGGUUGCUCUGCCUUAGCCUCAGCACCAAGUCGCUAACCCUAAAGGCCCAUCCUCGGAUGCGUCAGCUGUGGUAGCGUCAUAGAGCCUACUAGUACUUAGCCGAGUGUAGGAGAGCUAUGUCUCGGGCUUUCUUCCAGCUGAUCCAGGGCAUCUUCUUGGAAGGUUCUAUUGCUAUUCUCCUCAUAAGCUUUUGCCCUCAGGAGCCAUAUUCUAAGUCUAUGGGGAGAACAGCCUCGGACCCUUAGACCAUGAAGAAUGGCGUAAAACCCAUGACUCAUCUUUAGGAUGUCCUUAGACUCCAAAUGAUAGCUAGAAGCUUGGUGAGCCAUCUUUUGCCAAACUUGUUCAGAUGGUUGGACAUCAUGGGUUUUAGACUUUGUAGGAUCAUGCCAUUAGCACGCUCUACCUACCCAUUAGUCCUUGGAUGAGCCACUACUGCCUAGUCCACACAUAUGUGGUGCUCAUCGCAAAACACUAGAAACUUCCCCCCGAUGAAGUGUGUGCCAUUAUCAGUGAUGAUGCAGUUUGGAACCCCAAACCGAUGAAUGAUGUCGGUAAAAAAUGACACCACUUGCUUGGACUUGAUCCUGAUGAUGGGACAAGCCUCGAUCCAUUUUGAAAAUUUGUCAAUUGCCAUGAGAAAGUGGGUGAAGCCCUCGGGUGCUUUUUGUAGAGGUCCUACGAGGUCGAGAACCCAUACAACAGAGGGCCACAUGAUGGGGAUCAUCUGUAGAGCAUGUGUUGGAGAUGGGUCUGUCCUGUGCAGAAUCGACACCCCUUGCACGUCCACACAACUUCCAUGGCAUCUUCCAAGGUGGUUGGUGUUAACGGUAGAUAACUCCAAAUUUUAACCGUCAACUAAACUUGAAAAUGGAUCUAUAUACAAACACCUAGUAGAUAUAGGGUUAUCACUAAUAGAAUUCCAUGAGUUUUGGUGAACGUCUGUUUUUGUGGGGUGUUAGCUAAAAACAACCAAAGAUGGUCCACAUGUUGGUUUUACAUAGAGAGAAUACCACAAAUAGCAACUCAAUAACAAUCUAGAAGACUCGAAAGAUGGUCCACAUUUUGUAGUUGUACAUGCAGGAUCAAAGUCUCCUAACUUGAGGCUUGGUCCUAGGAUCAUUUACCAAUUCGACUUCUAAUACUAGGAAGUUUAUUGUUCUUAUUGUUGUUUGGUUUAUGGGUUUACUUUAUUCACUAGCGCUAGGGAAUAGAAUAAUUGUUCGUAGAGUAAGCGUGGUGCUUCGGCUAGGAAUACUCAUAGAUACUCCCUACCUGGUCAGGUUUGUGGUAAUAGUGAGGGGAAGUGACAGUCUCUUUGUUGUCUUCGUAAUCCAUGUCCCGUCAGGAGGUAAGGUAGGAAUUAGUGUGCUGGGGUUACGCAUCCUCUGUGGUGUAUUUUUUUCUUAGGUGCCCCCUGUUGGGUAUUUUAAACGCAAACAGAAAAAUCCGCAAGCGCACGGAUACCGAUGUAGCCUUCACCCGGGAGUAUUCCAGAGUAUCGAUUUUCCACAGGGAACGUGAGUGUACUAAUUAAGAUUCAAGAUCGCCCAAGGAUAACUAUAUAAUUAUUUUUGGUGGGAAGAGAGGAAGUUUCCUGAGAGUUCUCUAGUUGAUCUAAGAAUCAAGAAUUACUUCAACAUUAUCUAUAUCGGGACAUCAGAGCACUAACCACAGAAAAAGAUGAGAAGGGGGCUAGGAAGGUCUGACUACGGUCCUACAAACACCGAUCCAAACGUGGUGGAAUACGUCGACCGUUAGGGCUGUCACUACCCUAGGGCUACCACAACAAUCCGCAGGAUUGGGUGCAAUUCCAGGUAAUCGCAAGACUAAACACCACGUCUAAUCUAUUAAUUACUACUCUAGCGUUAUAAAGACUAGAGCACUUGAUGCAAGCGGGAAUCCAAUAAAUAACUUGAAUGUAAAUAAAAGUAAUUAGAGAACUCAGGAGUUAUGAAUUGAAGAACCUGGAGAACGAUGAAGAACGAACCAGUUGCUGCAAAAGUACAAUUUUGAGGAAGAUCCGACAGAUCCGGCUCCUCCUCCGCUCUCCUCUUCUCUCUCCCUAUUUUCUAGAUUACAACUAGAACUAACUAGAACUAGAAAUAGAGGAACUAGAACUAGAACUAGAUGAACUAGAACUAGAUCUAGAUGAACUAGAGGUAGAACUAGAAGAACUAGAGGGAUCCUCUCUACUUGGAUGAAGAAUUGAAACCCUAGCUUUGAUUCUGUAGAAGAGGUAUGAUCUCCAGGGGCUAGGGAGGUCUGGUUUUAUAGUCCCUUCAAGUGAAUCUGGGCCGUCGGAUCAAACCGACAUUGAUCGCACGGUUUUCCUUGAUCCUUUAGGUCGGUGGAGCGUUGUCCGCGAAACGUGACCGAAUUGGUCUCUGGAAGUGGGCGGGCGCCCAAGGGACUAGGGCGGGCGCCCUGUGCCUGAGCCCUCUCGGCCUCCGCUUCGGUCCCGUGGCUUCUGGAGUCUUCUAGAUGAUAGAAAAUUGCGCGGCACGUUAAUAUCUCUAUGUAAACCCGACGUGUGGGCCUUUCUUCCGUAUUUCCUGAUAACCCCCUGCAGAAAUAGACAAACACCAAAACUCGUGGAAUUCUGUCAGAUAAAACCCUAAGUCUGGGUGUUGGUUGCAUUUGGAUCCUUUUCCAUGAUUAAUUGAUGGUUAAAUAUGAGCAUUAAGGACCGUCAACAAGCUCCCCCAAGCUUAACCUUUGCUCGUCCCUGAGCAAAGCUAAAAUCAACAAGAAAAACAGGGGUUACUUUUAUGCCUCUUACUACAGGGUUUUUAAGUUAUCACUAAGGUCUUAAGUGAUUGAAAAACAGAAUGAUCAAGUCAAGCACUAUGUCUUAAGUUCUUCUGUCUUACCUUUGUUCUGGAGUUGUUUGUAAGUUUGCAAAAUAAAACUGAGGCAUUUGCCUUCUUCUCGAAAGAUAUAUAAGUAGAGCUUUAAAAGUUUUAGCAUACUUACUUUGCAUUUUGCUAUGUCAACGCUCGGAGUAAGGGAGAGGAAUGUCAUACUCCUAGAUCAAGACCUUUGACCUUUUUGAAAAGUUUGUCAUCUCUUACUGGCAUAUUGCUUAUUAGAGGGACCAUGGGCUAUCAUUUUUUUUUCUUUUUUUUUCAGUCUCUUUUUUUUUCAAGUGGGCAGCAAGUACCCCUAAUUCUACUGUCGGACACAUGUCCAUUUUUUUCCACUCAGGUGGGUAUCUUUGUACCCCUAAUUCUACUUCGGACACUUGUCCAUUUUUACUUCUCGUCUCACUCUCUCCUUUUUUUUUGAAUCAAAUUUUUGCAUAGUCCCAUGCCUCUAACGCAAUAAUACUUCGGAAGAGUGAAUCUUUUAUAUUUUUAAAACAAAAAGAUCUUGAUCUUGGGAGCAUGAUAAUUCUCUCAACCAAAACUACAAGAAUUAACAAUGGCUUGAACAAAGCAAGUGCCCACAGUUUUAAUAUUCAUAUCUUAUAAGACUCUAGGUAUUAUGAUCUCAUAUUUAUUUAUUUUUUUUUAUGAAUUUUUAGAUUUUCAAAAGAUAAAAUCUCCAGAACUCUAGCAAAACUUGGAACAAGUUAAAUAGUAGCUCAGACCUUCUCAUAUCAUGUUUGUCAAUUACCUAGACUUGAAUCAAACUUUCUUUUUAUUUUAUUUAAAACUUAGGAUUACACAAAACUAUUGUAUAUUACUCAAAAGAAAAACUUUGUUUGGUUUCAUGGUUAUGCAUUUUUAUUUAUUUACUUAUUUCAGAAUACUAGUAAAUAAAACCAAAGGAAGAAAAGUAAUACUUAUCUAGAUACAUGUGGGGGUGCCUCCCCCAAGCUGUAUGUUGACAUAGUCGUUCACUCUUGUAGCCUGCAUGUUUGGUCUCACUCUUCUUAAGCCUCAAAAUCCUGCACAACCCAAAUAGACAACAAAACUUGUGGAACAUGUUAAGGGUUAGGUAAUUGUCUAGAGCUUAUGAGAGCUUAAUGUGAGAAUUCUAUAAACUCAAUCACAUCAAGCUCCUCUACCAGGUUGUUUUGUGGCUCGAGAUAGAUUUUCAAGCGUUGACCAUUUACCUUAAAAGUGUUACCUAUGUCGUCUUGGAUGGUAAUGGCUCCAUGAGUUGAAGUGUCAAUAACCUUGUAUGGUCCAUCCCACUUACUUCGUAGCUUACCAUGCCCAAAGAGCUUUACUCUUGAAUUGAAUAGUAGAACCUUAUCUCCAGGCUUAAACUCCUUGUGCUUGAUUCUCUUAUCAUGCCAUCGUUUCGUUCUCUCUUUAUAGAUCCUUGAAUUGUGAUAGGCUUUCUCUCUCCAUUCUUCUAGCUCAGAUAGUUGCAUCAGACGAUUCUUGCUAGCAAGGUGGAGAUCCAUGUUCCAUUUCUUGAGUGCCCAAUGAGCCUUAAACUCUACUUCCACAGGCAAGUGACACGUUUUUCCAUAUACAAGUUGAUAAGGUGACAUGCCUAUGGGUGUUUUGAAUGCAGUUCUAUAUGCCCAAAGUGCAUCAGGAAGUUUGUCCUUCCACCCCUUACCCAUCUCAUCUACGGUCUUUUGUAAAAUAUUUUUGAUUUGUUUGUUAGAUGUUUCGGCUUGACCGCUAGUCUGAAGAUGGCAUGGUGUUGCGACGUUGUGUCGAACUCCAUGAUCGGCUAGGUACUUCCGGAAGAUUUUGUCGAUGAAGUGGGAACCUCCAUCGCUUAUAACUAUCCGGGGUAUACCAAAGCGAGGAAAGAUUACUUCAUGGAACAUUCUCUUGGCAUGUUUUGAAUCAGCUGAUCGACAAGGUAAGGCUUCUACCCAUUUGGACACGUAGUCCACAGCUACUAAGAUAUACUCGCAAUUCCCGGACAUAGGGAAUGGCCCCAUGAAAUCAAUGCCCCAUACGUCGAAAAGUUCUACUUGAAGAUUAUUUGUGAGAGGCAUUUCAUUUUGUGAGUUGAUAUUCCCAUGUUUUUGACAUCGGUGGCAUCUCCUGACAAAGUCCUUUGUAUCUUCAUACAUCGUUGGCCAGAAAAAGCCACUUUGCCAAAUUUUAGCAUGUGUCCGGAAUGCUCCGUAGUGUCCUCCAUAUGGCGAGGCAUGGCAUCUUUCCAUAAUUUGAGUAGCCUCAGCCAUAGGAACACACCUUCUCAAGAGUCCAUCAGCGCAGACUCGAAAAAGAUAUGGCUCAUCCCAAAGGUGGAAACGACUAUCGUGAAGUAACUUCCUUUUGUUUGCACCAGGUGGGACAUAGCCUUUUACUACAAAGUUUACGAUGUCUGCGUACCAUGGAUCUGCAUGUGUUAUCUUAAGUAGGGUGUCAUCCCUUAGGUAGUCAUUUAUGGGAAGCUCAUCAUGUGUUUCCUUAUAUUAAAGCCUAGACAAGUGGUCGGCUACAGAAUUCUCAACUCCCUUCCUAUCUCGGAUUUCUAUGUCAAAGUCUUGGAGUAGAAGAAUCCACCGAAUUAGACGAGGCUUAGCAUCUUUCUUAGUGAGGAGGUACUUGAGAGCAGCAUGGUCUGAAUAGAUGAUUAUCUUUGCCCCCACUAAGUAAGAUCUAAACUUGUCUAUAGCAAAGACAACAGCCAAAAGCUCUUUUUCAGUUGUAGUGUAAUUGAGCUGUGGUCCAGAUAAGGUUUUGCUAGUGUAGGAUAUGGCAUAAUGCAUUUUAUCCUUGGUUUGUCCUAAAACGGCACCAACCGCAAAAUCGCUAGCAUCACACAUGAUCUCAAAAGGAAGAUUCCAGUCAGGUGGUUGGAUAAUCGGGGCUGAGAUGAGUGCUUUCUUAAGAGUUUGAAAAGAUUCAUGACACUCAUCACUAAAGAUGAAAGGCGCAUCCUUAGCUAGGAGAUUAGUUAGGGGUCUAGCAAUUUGAGAGAAGUUCUUGAUAAAGCGUCUAUAGAACCCUGCAUGUCCCAAAAAGCUACGGAUUCCUUUCACAUUCGUUGGAGGUGGAAGUUUUUCAAUAACUUCAAUCUUUUCUUUGUCCACCUCUAUACCACGUUCGGACACUUUAUGUCCUAGCACUAUUCCUUCCUGAACCAUAAAAUGGCAUUUCUCCCAGUUCAGGAUUAAGUGCUUUUCUUCACAUCGCUGCAAGGCUCUAUCUAAAUUCUCCAAACAAUGAUCGAAGGUUUUGCCAUAGACGGUAAAAUCAUCCAUGAAAACCUCCAUGAUCUUCUCAAUCAUGUCCGAGAAAAUAGACAUCAUGCACCGUUGGAAAGAAGCUGGAGCAUUGCACAAUCCGAACGACAUUCGUCGGUAUGCAUAAGUUCCAUACGGGCAUGUAAAGGUAGUCUUUUCUUGGUCAUCUGGGUGGAUUGGGAUUUGGUGAUAUCCAGAAUAACCAUCAAGGAAACAAAAGAAAGAGUGGUUUGCAAGCCGUUCCAACAUUUCAUCAAUGAAGGGUAACGGAAAAUGAUCUUUCUUUGUAGCCUUAUUGAGUUUUCGAUAGUCAAUACACAUACGCCACCCAGUGACAAUUCGUUGAGGGAUGAGUUCAUUUUUCUCAUUCAUAACAACCGUCAUUCCUCCUUUCUUUGGCACUACUUGGACAGGGCUAACCCACUCACUAUGUGGCACAGGAUAAAUAAUCCCAGCACGAUAGAGUUUGAGGACCUCUUUCUUAACAACCUCUCGCAUAGCAUUGUUAAGUCUCCGUUGUGGUUCCCUUGAAGGUGUAGAAUUGGGAUCAAUAGGGAUACGAUGAGUGCAGAGAAUGGGACUAAUGCCCGUGAGAUCCUCGAGAGAGUAGCCAAAUGCUGAUCUAUGUCUUUCAAGAACAGUGACAAGUUGUUGUGUUUCAUAAUCGGAAAGCUUGUCACUGAUAAUUACUGGAGUUUUUGAGUUGUUGUGCAAAAAGACAUAUCUAAGGCCAGAAGGAAGAGGUUUUAAUUCUAUCGAAGGAGGUGAAGUUAGUUCAUUUUUGUCUAGCUCAACGGGUUCUACCAACUCUUCUUCUUCUUGAACAAAGUGUUCAUCAUUAAAGAAUGGUUGGGCCAUCUCCUCUUGAGUCAACAUUAAGAUCUCCUCAAUAGGAUCUGGUACAAGUUUGGGUUCCACUAUCGUGUUAAUUGAUCUAACAAGAGGAACAACAAUAGUGGAAUUCCCAACCUUGAAGUCUAAAUGACCUCGUUGUGGUUGUUCAUGUAGAAGUUUUAUGAUUGGUCUACCAAUCAAGAGAGGAAUCUCUGGUAUGUCAAAAAUGUGAAAAUCUAGACAUAUUCCAGAGUCCUUGAUUCUAACAGGAACUGCCCUUAAUACCCCAUGGCUUUCUAGAAUUAAUCCAGGUGGACUUUGUAAAAGUUUUUGAGAUGGGGUUAUGGACUCGUUGGGAUAAAGAGUGUCAGCUAACUCCUUGGAAAUAACAUUUAUCCCAACAUAUGGAUUGUAGUGGACCUUCCUAACGGACCGUCUAAUUUGGCACAGAAGAAUGGUUGAAGGAGUGAUGAUUCGAGCUACCUCAGGAGACAGCUCUGCUUCUGUUAGCCAUUCAUAACUUAGAAUAGCCGAAAGGCUUUUGAUGUGUUCUAUGUCAACAGAUUCUACUCUUAGAACGGAUUGAGUGGUCCUUGCUAGAGGUCGUGUUUGGAUAGGAAAAUUCGAGGUGUUUCCAUAAUCUUCAAAAAGAUCUUCCUCGAAUUGAAAGGGAUGCUCUAAAGGUGGUGGUUCAUCAUCCUUUAGUUGGUUUUGCAUUCCCUUAUCAGGAGGUUUCUCUACAACCAAAUUAAUGGAUGGGUCAGGUGGAAUUUCUAUCUCGGUUGCAAGUUCCACAUCUUUUGGUUUAGGAUCAGGCUCGACUUCGUUUUCUUCUUCAAGAAACUCAUCAUAAAUGCCUGUGUAAGGGGUAUUUUCAAGGAUUCUUUCUAGGAUAGCUCUCCCCUCAUCUGUGAGUUUGUGUGUGAAUGAGCCUCCUGAAGCAAUGUCGAGGUGAAGAGCAGCUUCCUUAUUAAGACCACGAUAGAAGUGGUAGUACAGUACAUGGUCAGGCAGAGAAAGGUUUGGACCGGAAUUGGUAAGGCUUGUGAACCUAGCCCAAGCUGCUCCUAAAGUUUCCUUCUCUCUUUGUUUGAAUGUAAGAAUUUCAAUUCUAAGGUCAGCAAUUCGAAAAAGUGGGAAGAAAGCGAGACAAAAGUUGUCCCGAAGUUCAUCCCAAUUUCCAUUAACGCCUCCUACAGAAUGAGCAUACCACUUCUUUGCUCUUCCCAAAAGGGAGAACGGAAAUAAUUUCCAUAUAAGGGUGUCUUGUGUCAUGCCGGAAAUAGAUCGGCAAGAGCACAACUGCUCGAAUUCUCUAAGGUGGGUGUAUGGAUCUUCAUCUACAUGAUGGUGGUGGCUCUAAUAACUCGCCCUUUGGAGCAAAGAAUUUAUAGAUAGGAGUGAAAUCCAUGUGGUGUGGUGAAAAUGGUAAGGUGAGUGUGGUAAAAGGGAAAAGAAAAAGGAUACACGGACGACUUGGUUCGAAACUAGCACAGCUACCGUUCCCCGGCAACGGCGCCAGAAAGCUUGUUGGGUAUUUUAAACGCAAACAGAAAAAUCCGCAAGCGCACGGAUACCGAUGUAGCCUUCACCCGGGAGUAUUCCAGAGUAUCGAUUUUCCACAGGGAACGUGAGUGUACUAAUUAAGAUUCAAGAUCGCCCAAGGAUAACUAUAUAAUUAUUUUUGGUGGGAAGAGAGGAAGUUUCCUGAGAGUUCUCUAGUUGAUCUAAGAAUCAAGAAUUACUUCAAGAUUAUCUAUAUCAGGACAUCAGAGCACUAACCACAGAAAGAGAUGAGAAGGGGGCUAGGAAGGUCUGACUACGGUCCUACAAACACCGAUCCGAACAUGGUAGAAUACGUCGACCGUUAGGGCUGUCACUACCCUAGGGCUACCACAACAAUCCGUAGGAUUGGGUGCAAUUCCAGGUAAUCGCAAGACUAAACACCACGUCUAAUCUAUUAAUUACUACUUUAGCGUUAUAAAGACUAGAGCACUUGAUGCAAGCGGGAAUCCAAUAAAUAACUUGAAUGUAAAUAAAAGUAAUUAGAGAACUCAGGAGUUAUGAAUUGAAGAACCUGGAGAACGAUGAAGAACGAACCAGUUGCUGCAAAAGUACAAUGUUGAGGAAGAUCCGACAGAUCCGGCUCCUCCUCCGCUCUCCUCUUCUCUCUCCCUAUUUUCUAGAUUACAACUAGAACUAACUAGAACUAGAACUAGAGGAACUAGAACUAGAACUAGAUGAACUAGAACUAGAUCUAGAUGAACUAGAGGUAGAACUAGAAGAACUAGAGGGAUCCUCUCUACUUGGAUGAAGAAUUGAAACCCUAGCUUUGAUUCUGUAGAAGAGGUAUAAUCUCCAGGGGCCAGGGAGGUCUGGUUUUAUAGUCCCUUCAAGUGAAUCUGGGCCGUCGGAUCAAACCGACAUUGAUCGCACGGUUUUCCUUGAUCCUUUAGGUCGGUGGAGCGUUGUCCGCGAAACGUGACCGAAUUGGUCUCUGGAAGUGGGCGGGCGCCCAAGGGAUCAGGGCGGGCGCCCUGUGCGUGAGCCCUCUCGGCCUCCGCUUUGGUCCCGUGGCUUCUGGAGUCUUCUAGAUGAUAGAAAAUUGCGCGACACGUUAAUAUCUCUAUGUAAACCCGACGUGUGGGCCUUUCUUCCGUAUUUCCUGAUAACCCCCUGCAGAAAUAGACAAACACCAAAACUCGUGGAAUUCUGUCAGAUAAAACCCUAAGUCUGGGUGUUGGUUGCAUUUGGAUCCUUUUCCAUGAUUAAUUGAUGGUUAAAUAUGAGCAUUAAGGACCGUCAACACCCCCCUUAGAACAAUAACUACACAGCUUACCAUAGGUUAGAGGAAGACUAACGGAGUAAUCCUCUCUAUAUCGCUCAUAUCUCACUAUCUUGUCUGUAGCCUAGGGGUUAAGUAUAUAUUUGGUUUAGUCAGAUGCACACUUUCUCCUAGCACAUAAAUAAAUAAUGAUACUCUAUAUAUCUCGGGUGACAUGCUCACCGAUGUCCGUGCACUUGCGGAUUACUUCUCUAUUUGCGUAUCUAGUAUCAACAAGCAUUUCUGAUGCCGUUGCCGAGGAGAAAUAUAGUCUGUUGAGAUAACUUUAAGUCAGGGUUAACCUUGUAUUAUACUUUGCUGUAUAAUGAUACUCUAUAUUUCUCUAUUUGCGUAUCUAGUAUCAACAAGCAUUUCUGAUGCACUAGCCUUCAAGAUGAUAUCCUAGAGUUUUCCUUUAUUUAUCCAUUAGUGAGGUGAGGUUUGUCCUUAUUAUUAGUGGACACACUCCUUGCACUAGCCUUCAAGAUGAUAUCCUAGAGGUAGAGAAGGAAGCACCCCCAAACUUGAAGAGGAAGUUUUCAUAGCCACUUUGCAAACAUUCUAAUCCCAUGAUUCGGCUAUCCAUCCCAAACUAGCAAUACUCCAAAAUCCUUUAAGGGAAGAAGUAGUUCUACCUUUAGAAAUCCUUUCCAAUGAUUUUGGGAGGAAUUUAAACUUCCCGCUUCAUAAGAGAUAUUUUAGUGCAUAUAGUUUGAAUCUUCAAAACAUAUCUCUUAGAAAGCUUUUCAAAUCCAAUCCCUUUGAAAGACAAUUAGAAAGACUCAAAGAUGGCAUGUCAAUUGAUGCCAUAGGACUGUGAAGCCAUCUAGAAGCCACUCUUAUCCUCUCCCCUUCUAUGCCCACAUUAGAUAUAGAAUAUGAACCCGUCUUUAAACCCAUCCUUGACUACUAUGGCUUGUUUUAUGCUCUUUCUCCUAAACCUCCUGAUGAUUCUAGAAAUCCAUCUAGAUAUGUGUUGACGGUCCUUAAGUAUCAAAUUUAAUUAUCAAAUAAACAAAGAAAAGGAUCCAAAUGAAAUCAACAACCAGACUUAGGGUUUCAUCUGACAGAAUUCCACGAGUUUUGGUGUUUGUCUAUUUCUGCAGGGGGUUAUCAGGAAAUACAGAAGAAAGGCCCACACAUCGGGAUUACAUAGAGAUAUCAACGUGACGCACAAUUAUCUUACAUCUAGAAGACUCCAGAAGCCACGGGAAGGAAGCGGAGGCCGAACUAAUACCCGAUUUUAAGGACAAAACCAGAUAUGCACCAUAUGUGAGUUUUAGAAGUCAAAUCUCACAUAUAGCUACAAAUAAAGGGUAAUAUCAUAAGACAAUGCAUAAAUAUAUAACGUACUUAGUAUAAAAGAGAUAACCUUUGAUAACAAACAGCAGAUAGACAACUCCAAACUUCAGGUAUUAACUCCUCUCCAUAGGAUCAAACUGACUGGUUGAUCACAAGCCUAAAGCAACUCCUGAAGUGAGGGGGAAAUUGCAAGAGUGAGCACAUAUCAUACUCAACAAGUAUAACCAGGGGUUCAUGAGGCUCAAUAAGCUGACACUGGUUUGACUGUGUUUAGCUUUUAUAUGUAGAUAACAUAUUUAAUCAUUGGAUAGCAAAUAUCAAGGUAGCAUAAUUAAUCCCAUAACCACAUGAUCAAUGUAUAUAAGAAUUAUGAAUAACACAUAUAAACAACAUAAUAAACCAUCAUUUAUUAUCAUUAAUCAUGUUCAUCAGUGUCCGUCUAUUCCGUCAAUUUUCUGGGCCGCCCGUAUCCGUGGGCACGGCUAGUAUAGCAGAUUUAACACUCUGCAGAGGUUGUACAUCUUUACCCAUGAGUCGUGAUUUACCUUUUUGCCUGAGGUUGCAAGUCUCUUAACCCCAUUCCUAGGGAGGUCGGCAGGGAUCACUAUGAAGCCUUUCAAAGGUUUCGUCUAACAAGUUAGGACCAUUAGAUUCACUCGGCAGGCAGAUAUAGAGCCCCCUUCCAUGGCACAUAACCCGCAGCCUAUACACAUGGAUAGAGGCCACACUAUACCCAACGUGUCUAGCCAUUCUUACGCCAUUUAAGGUAACCGCUAACAAGCUAGAAAAAGGUCCUCAUACUGAGCUAAAACCAGAGCCAUAUAGCCCUCAUGGUUGUACGAGUUGUCCCACCUUUUGCCAAGGGAUAAGUUCUUAUGGAGGGUCAAGAUCAAUCUAGCAAAAGCUAGAGUUCUUUCCACCCUUUAUGUUCAAGUUGCUAGAAAGCUUAUUUUAUUGUUUAUUGUAUAUCCAAAUAUUCAUGUUACAAGAUCAUGGAUUAUUAAUCAAGCACUAGCAAGAACUACCCAAGUGCAUAUCUAAAAUAGGUAACAAGGAAUUCAGGAUAACAAUCAUCUAUGAUUUUGCUAAGGUCAUCAAGGUGGACACAUGCAUAUGAUAAAUAUUGUAUUAAUUGUGUAUAGGUAACAAGGAUGAUCUCUAGUUAUACUUGCCUUGAUCAAAGCUCUCCUGAGCCUGCUGGUCUUCAAAGGCUUGGUCUUGAUCACCAACGUACGGCUCACCGUCUAUUCCCAAACAUGGAUCAACAACACGCAAUCCAAUGUAGACAAUCAUACACAAAGCAAACAAGCUAUAAUUAGAACAUUACACCAAUAGUGAGAAAUUAAAGAUAAAAGUUUAUAAAAAUAUUCUCGCAGCGCUACGAUCACACAAACGUAAAGUACACGAAAAUCGGAUUUAAAACGUAGAAGUUAUGAUUUUUUUCUAAGAUUUCUUAUAGAUAAUUAAUUAAUUAAAUGCUACUGCAAAAUUAAAAAGUUUCAAAACAGUGGACUAAUACUUCUAACAUGUAGAGCUCGUAAAAAUGAAUCUAACGCAAUUUGAAUAGGUCAAAACGGAGUUAAGAUGAAUAUUUUAUGGCCAAAAAAAAGUCAGUGGCAAAUUCUGUAAAUACCUCAUCUUGUUACCUUGAGCACGUACACAUCAGGCCAUGGCUGAUUCGGCCUUGCCGACCAGCGCAGGGAUCAAAGACGGCUUGGAGAUCGCAGGGGCUGGCUCUACAAAAUUUCGCGCAGUCACAGACAAGUCUCCAAUCUUGAUUUCAGCGAGGAAACGAAACAUCCGCGCUUGAAGGUAGGCAUGGCUGUAUAGGCGAUGAUGGCGAUCACGUUGUAGAGAAGAAAAUAUAAAUUUUAUUUUACUACCUUAAGAAUUCUCAAAUUAGAGACUUCCCAUAUGAUAGUCUUUGAUGUGCUUUGCCUAAGGGGUUGGUACAUAUAUAUAGGGAGAAAAACUCCCCACCUCCACGUCAACUAGCAAUAUGGUACUAAUUGAUUUGCAACCUUCAUCUUCACUAAUAGGUCUAAUUAAUUAUUAAAGCCCAUUAGUAAAUAAAUACAUGGUUUUUAUGAUUUAUUAUGGGCUUUGACGUUGGAAAAAUAAUAAGAGAUUUAUUAUUUUUGGAAUUAAUUAUUUUCAUUGAUAAAAUAAUUCUAGAAAAGUUUAGAAUUAGUAGUUAAGCCACGAAAAAUACUCCAAAAGCUCCGAAAAUUCAGGAAAAAUUCUCAGAGAUAUUAUAGAACAUGGGAAACCCGAAUAAAGUUUUUGGAGCUCAUGAUAAGAUUGUUUGAAGCAUCUAAAAAUUAGAUUUAUGCUCAUAGGAAAGGCUAGAAAAUACCCGAGAAGUUUGUAGAGAAUUCUUGAUGGACGAGAAAUUCAAACGAGUGACUUACGUUUGAAAGAAAAGAUUCUGAGAGACAAUGACCGAAAUCUUGAGCUAAGAGACAAGGAAUUUGAUUGUAGAAAAAGGUAAAUAUGUGCCGAAUAAGGAAGAUCGAUCUACUAAACGUAUUUUAAAUAUUUUUCUUACUAUCAACACAUAAAGGAGCAACAAGCAUCACAUCAAAACAUAUGCACCAGCAUGUAUGUAUAAUAAUGUUGCUAAGCCUUAUGAUAAAUUUUAAUUUAAUUAAAAUAUUAUUUUUUCUAUAUUUUCAUGAGCACAAAAAUAUUAAAUUAAAUAAUUUUAUCUAUAUUUCAAAAGGAGUAAAUUUUAGGGUGUUACAUAGCCUGGCCCUGGGCGCCCGCCCAGGAGACCAGGGCGCCCGCCCCCUUCUGGGUACAAUCAGGACUCUCCUUCGGGAUCAAUCUCCACCGACCUAAAGGAUCUAGGAUAACCGUUCAAUCAAUGUCGGCUUGAUCCAACAGCCCAUAUUCACUUGAAGGGACUACAAAACCAGACCCUCUGGGCCCUGGAGGAGAGAGCCUCUCAACCCUAAUUCAUUAUUCUCACGGGAGAAGAAGCCUCUGAUCAAGCCUAGAGCCACAACAUCAAUUAGACAUCUAGAUUAGCAUAGCUACAUAGGAUUAGAACUAGAAGGAGUCAAUCUUCGAUUGGUUUCCGGAUCUGUCAAGAGGAUUCUUGGUAAUUCUCUAAUUGUUCUUCUAAUUGUUCAUCUUUGUUCUUCAAUAUUAUGAAUAUGACUUUGUUCUACAUCAAUAUAUUGCUUACGACUUUGCUCUACUUGUUUAUAUUCAAGAUUAUAUUGUUCUUAGUUUAUCAUAGUUAUGUACUUGGCUUAGUUAGAUUGGAUCUAUAUACAUGUUUAGGAUCGUAUAGCGUUUAUCCAUCGGAUCCAUGAGUAAAUGAUAGAUAUUGUGUAGGCGUGGUGCUUAUACCGUAUUUAUCUGCGAUUGUACCCCCAGAUCAUGGGGUAGUUCAUGAUAGUGACAGCUUCAUUGAUUCUUAUAUAGUCCCCCUCUCGUGUAUUGGGCUGGCAGAGCAACAUUAUUACAGGGGAGUGAUUACGAUGUUUCUCAUAUUCCUUGCUAAUAUCACUAUGCAUGGGCGUAGUCUUGUCUCGCAAUGAUUGCUAAGUAUGCUUGCACUAACUAUGAUAAUGUUAGACGGUAUAGUUAAGAAUAACUUAGAAAAUAUUCUUGUAGUUCGUUCUAAUUCCAUGCUAAUGACUUGCUAGAAUAUCUAAUUGAGGUGCUUAUCAUAUUUAUAUGUGGCUAAGUUAUGCUGAUCAGAUUAAUUAUCUUUGUCACCAUUCAUUACUUCAUAUAUCCUUUAUGUGACACUUAUCCCUGUAUGAAAGAGUUAGAUAAAUGUUCUCAAUUAUACAUGCAUUGAUAGAUACUCAAUCUCAUAUUCCAUUCUAUAAUCAACAUUGAUGGUUACUAAUCCCUUCCCAGUGGUAAAAAUAUAAAUAACGAUACCUAGAAUACUUCCCGGUUAAAAUGCUACAUCGGUAUUAAUCUAUGCGCUUGCAGAUCCCAUUCAUUAUUUAUUUAGACGAGCAAUUGCAUAUUUCAAUACCGCGUCUCUCAUGUCAUACUGGGGAUGACAACUUGGCUUAAGUGGUAUGAGAGAUAGGUUUGGCAUUUUUGGCACUGUUAUCAGAAUUAGAAACUGUUUACUUUUGGUAGUGAUGUUAAGAAUACCUAACAAUAUCCCAUGCAUAGGAAUCAUCAAGACCAUACAGAAGAUCAAGAACAUGGCUAGAGUGCAACUAAAACUUAUGUGCUAUUGCCAUUUAAUGGAUGGACAAGGCCUUAGAUAAGAUCAAUUCAAGAGAUGAUGCAAGGGAAUGUUUGGACAUAUAUGUCUAGUCACCCUUGGAAGUCGAAAAUGAUGGAGACUUCAAUGAGCAAGGAAGCUACUUCAUUAACACCCCAUGAGUUCCUUGCUCAUAUGAAAAAUCUCCUAAUUCACUUAGUCUCUCUACCUUUGCCCCACAUGAGGUCUUCAACCCCCUCAUGCUCUCUGUUCCUAACUGUUGACGGUCCUUAAGUAUCAAAUUUAAUUAUCAAAUAAAUAAAGAAAAGGAUCCAAAUGAAAUCAAGAUCUAGACUUAGGGUUUUAUCUGACAGAAUUCCACGAGUUUUGGUGUUUGUCUAUUUCUGCAGGGGGUUAUUAGGAAAUAUGGAAGAAAGGCCCACAUGUCAGGAUUACGUAAAGAUAUUAACGUGCUGUGCAAUUAUCUUACAUCUAGAAGACUCCAGAAGCCACGAGACCGAAGCGGAGGCGAAACAGGGCCAGAGGCAGGGCGCCCGCCCUGUCCUACUGGGCGCCCGCCCCCUGUCCAAGUCCAAUCAGGACUCUGCUUUGCGGGAAGUCUCCACCGACCUAAAGGAUGAAUCUAAACCAUACAAUCUAUGUCGGUUUGAUCCAAGGGCCCAUAUUCACUUGAAGGGACUAUAAAACCAGACCCCCUGGCCCCUGGAGGAGAGAGCCUCUCAACCCUAAUUCAUUGUUCCAUCAAGGGAGAAGAAGCCUCUGAUCGAGAUUAGAGCCACCACAUCAAUUAGAUAUCUAGAUUAGCAUAGCUACAUAGGAUUAGAACUAGAAGGAGUCAAUCUUCGAUUGGUUCCCGGAUCUGUCAAGAGGAUUCUUGGUAAUUCUCUAAUUGUGUUUCUAAUUACUUUCUAAUUAUCUUUGUUCUUCAAUAUUAUGAAUAUGACUUUGUUCUACUUCAAUAUAUUGCUUAUGACUUUGCUCUACUUGCUUAUAUUCAAGAUUAUAUUGUUCUUAGUUUAUCAUAGUUAUGUACUUAGCUUAGUUAGAUACAAUCUAUAUACAUGCUUAGGAUCGUAUAGCGUUUAUCCAUCGGAUCCAUGGGUAAAUGAUAGAUAUUGUGUAGGCGUGGUGCUUAUACCGUAUUUAUCUGCGAUUGUACCCAAUAUGCCAGAUCGUGGGGUAGUUCGUGAUAGUGACAGCUUCAUUGAUUCUUAUAUAGUCCCCCUCUCGUGUAUUGGGCUGGCAGAGCAACAUUAUUACAGGGGAGUGAUUGCUAUGUUUCUCAUAUUCCUUGCUAAUAUCACUAUGCAUGGGCGUAGUCUUGUCUCGCAAUGAUUGCUAAGUAUGCUUGCACUAAUUAUGAUAAUGCUAGACUAUAUAGUUGAGAAUAACUUAGGGAAUAUUCUUGUAGUUCGUUCUAAUACCAUGCUAAUGACUUUCUAGAGUAUCUAAUUGAGGUGCUUAUCAUAUUUAUUAUGUGGCUAGAUCAGAUUAGUUAUUCUUGUCACUAUUAUUAUUUCAUAUAUCUUUUAUGUGACACUUAUCCCUAUAUGAUGAGUUAGAUAUAAUGUUCUCAAUUAUACAUGCAAUGAUAGAUGCUCAAUCUCAUAUUCUAUUCUGUAAUCAUUAGUGAUGAUUUCUAAUCCCUUCCCAGUGGUGAAAAUAUAAAUAACGAUACCUGGAAUACUUCCCGGUUAAAAUUCUACAUCGGUAUUAAUCUGUGCGCUUGCAGAUCCCAUUCAUUAUUUAUUUAGAAGAGCAAUUGCAUAUUUCAAUACCGCGUCUCUUAUAUCAUGCUGGGGAUGACAACUUGGCUUAAGUGGUGUGAGGGAUAGGUUUGGCAUUUUUGGCACCGUUGCUAGAUUUAGAGAACUUAGUCUACUUUUAGUAAUGAUGUUAAGAAUACCCAACAAGCAUUUUUGGCGCCGUUGUCGGGGAAGGUUGAUUACUAAUCAGGAAUAGAAUAAAAGAUUUAGAGUAAUCAUUCGCAUCACUAAUAUGAUUGAGCUUAUCUAUUCUCUCAUACAGUUUUACCCCGAUAUUUUUCUAUUUUUAUCUUAUGCAGGGGAAUGUAUGAAUAGAAGACAUCUUCCAGGAAAUUUUGUUGACAAUCCCGAAGCAUUAUUCAAGAAGACGAGAGCCAAGCUAAAGAAAUCAUCAACACUUCACGAAGAAGCUUCAUCCAAUCAAGAAGAUCACCGGAACUUGUCUUCAGAGUUCGAAGCCAUGGCGAACAAAUCGAUCCGCGAGUUCUUAGCUCCCACUACGGACAACAUCCGCACUGGACCUGCUGCAGAGAUCGAUGGCAACUUUGAGCUCAAGCCUGGACUUAUCAACAAGGUGCAAUCCAACCAGUUCUGUGGGAAGGCACACGAAGAUGCUAGUGCUCAUUUACAACACUUUCUGGAGAUUUGCAACACAUUCACCAUAGCAGGAGUUUCCAAAGACGCUAUACUACUUCGCCUCUUCCCAUUCUCACUAUUAGGAAGAGCGAAGCAGUGGUUCUACGCUACAAAGGAGAAGAAUACUACGUGGGCACUCUGCUCAACAAACUUCCUGGCUAAGUUCUUUCCCAUGGGCAAAACCAAUGCUCUCCGUGGGAAGAUUACAAGUUUUCAGCAACAAAAUGAUGAAUCUGUUCCAGAAGCAUGGGAGCGCUUUCAAGACUACAUCCUAGAAUGUCCCCAUUAUGGAAUGGAGAGUUGGCUAUUGAUGCAGACGUUUUAUCAUGGGCUCGGCAACAGUGCCCGAGAGACUAUGGAUGCUGCAGCUGGAGGAGCAUUCUUAUCACUUACUAUACCACAAGCCGCAUCUCUUGUGGAGAAGAUGGCGUCCAACCAAAGCUGGAAUGAGGAGAGGACCCAGACACGCAAGAGAGGUGGAGGUAUACAUCAGCUGAAAGAGGUAGACAUGCUGUCUGCAAAGCUAGACCUGCUCAUGAAGAAGCUCGAUGAUAGAGCUGGAGACAAGAAAGAAGUUAUGCACAUCUACGACUCUCACAUGACUUGUGAGGAGUGUGGAGACACUGGACACUCAGGCAACCACUGCCCUGAGAUACUUGAGGAUGUGAACUACAUCAACAACAACAACAACAACUACUACAACCGUCCUCAACAAAAUCAAGGUUGGAAUCAACAGAGGCCUAACUACUCAGGUAAUUAUCAAGGUAACAAUUCUUACAACAAUAAUAAUAAUUUUCCACCUUUGAGAGAGUUAGUGUCUAAUCAAGGAAAGCUAAUGGAUAACCUAUCUAAGAAAUUGGCAUCUAAUGAUAAAAUGCUAGAAAAUAUAAAUAAUAGAAUGGAUAAUUUCUCUACUGCCAUCAAGAAUCAAAUUAGCUUUAAUAAAAUGAUUGAAUCUCAGUUAAAUCAAAUAGCUGCUGUUGUUCCUACUACUAACCCCGGUAUACCAUCACAACCGGAAGGAUUAGAAUCUGCAAAUCUUGUAGACAUGAUUGAUGCAGGUAAUUGGAGUAACCCCGUCACUGAAUUUUCUACUGACCAUCUGCCGGUCAAGAGAGGCGAUCCAGGACGCCCCGUCAUCCCGAUCUCCAUCGGCAUGGUGGACGUCCCAGAAGCACUCUGUGACUUUGGCUCUAGCGUCAACAUUAUACCCAGGGUACUCUAUAAAAAAUUCUUUACAUAUCCUUUAUUAGAGACAACCAUGUGUUUGCAGUUUGCAGAUCAGACGAUAACUUUUCCAAAAGGAAUCGUGAGGAACCUUUGUGUCCGAGUUGGUACCUUAUAUGCCCCAGCAGACUUCGUAGUGGUAGAGACCGGAAAUGAUGAGAGAGCACCUAUCAUCCUAGGGAGGCCAUUUCUGAACACCACGGGAGCUAUCAUCUACGCCAGUGCUGCCAAGAUCAGUUUCUACGUCAAAGGGAAGAAGGAGACAUUUUUCUUCAAGAACAAGACUACACAAAUUCCAGAUCAAUCCAGACGUGAAUCAAGGAAGAGGACCAACAGGAGAAACAGGAACAAGCAAGUGUGGACCGAGUCAGCUAAGAUGGUCACUAUAGUCCAUGGAGGCCAAGAUCACCAACUGAAGUCACCGUUUUUUGACCAAGAAGGACGACCCAGGAAUGCCAAGCAUUUACUGCUCCAUAAAUGGAUAUAACUUCUACAAGACGAUUUGCGACACCAGAUCAGGCGUCAACAUAAUGGCCGCAGUCACCUAUCGGCUCUUGUUCGGGACCAUGCCACUAAGACCAACAUACAUUCAGCUCCAGAUGGCAGAUCAAACAUUUCGAGAAGUUCAAGGAAUAGUAUCUGAUGUCCCAGUCAAAAUAGACAAUCACUUUGUCUACACAGACUUUCAAGUUGUUGACAUGGGAGAAGACGAGUAUGAUCCACCCAUCAUCCUUGGAAGGCCGUUCCUCAGCACCGUUAAAGCAAUUAUCUACAUUGGAACCGGAGAAGUCCAUAUGCACUUCCCCUCAGAGAAGGUACGCCGUUAUUUUACUGACCCUAACUAUAUCGUUGAAGAAUCUAAGCAGGUCAGAAAGAGACGCAACCGCAACCAGAGGAGGCAGAUCAUCAAGGACGGAUGGGCAGACUAUGAAGGAGAAGUUGUAAGGUCAGAAGACGUAGAGUUUAAACAGAAUUAUCUAGAGGAGAUUGAAGCACCGAGUCAGGUAUGGAAAAUGAAGAUAACUAUACAAGAAGAGGAGGCGCUGCCGGAAAUACCGACUAUGCCACCCAACGAACCUCAGGACGAUUAAGAAAUUGGAGAGUCCCGUUCGGAGGACUUAAAAACACCGAACGCCUUGCCAAGAGGUAAACUUGGUAGUUACCCUUUCCCUUUUAAUCAUUUCAAUUAUUUCAAAUAGUUUACUUAGUUAAUCAAGUUCAUGCUGUCUUAAAAAGAAAAUAAAAAUAUGAAAAACAGUAAGCCCCAUGUGAGUAUACGAGUGGCAUAAAACCCAUAAGUACUUUCACUGUGGUGGCAUAAAAAUAAAAUAAAUAUUUUUCUGCUUUAUAAAAUAAAAAUAUAAAAACAGGGAGUAAUAAUUAUUAAGGAGUCUCAAGAUGAUGAAGACUAUAUAUUUAUGCUAACACUUAAUUAGUUCCACAAGCUUUGUUGUCUAUUUAAGCUCCACAGAAUUCAAGAAGACUAGCAGAACGAGGACAUUCUAAUCGCUGUCAGAAUGCUGCUGACUUUCAAAUACACCUCUGCCGCCUGCUAGCUACAUCAAGAGAAAUUACGUCAAAAUUCAGCUUGGGGGAGAGCACCCCCAUUUAUUCCGAUAAGUAUUUUUAUCUAUCUUUAUACUUAUAUUAUUUUAGAAUAUUAAAAUACACAUAAACUAUGGAAAAACCAAAUAAAGAUUUUAUGCUUAUAUAUGUCUUUUGCUUAGUGUGUUUAAUAAAUAAAUAAAGUGGCUAUGCUAAUCUGUAUCUAAAUAAAACUUAAGCAUGGAUAUGAUGAAAAGUUGCUCUGCCUAAUUUGCAAAUUUUAAGUUCUCUCUCAAGUUUAGAUAUAACUGUUAUAAUUUAAAGCUUGCUCUAGAUCUAAACUUGUGGGAUAAAAACAUGAUCUGAAGUCUAAGUUGUUAACGGAUACGAUAUGGGAAGGCUGAGCUGCUGUUUAUCUGUUCCUAGAGAUGCUAGAAUUCUGGAGAAUUUUAUCUUUGAAAAUCUUUAAAAUGUUGCAUGAUGAGUUCCUGUAUGAUGAGAGCUUAAAAUUCCUACCACAGCCAUAUAUACAUGCUUGCUAGACUUUGAGCCACACAUUUAUUAUUUACUGCUUAUGAGCAUUGAGUGUGGUCAAGCUGUGUAGACCCUUAGGAGCUUGUCAUGUGGUUAAAUCAAGAUUUCACUUACACGUUCACUCAUAUAUGCUACUUCUACUCCGGAAGUACCAUCCACAUAUAUCCAUUCAUUUCCAUCUCCAGAACCACCUAAAAAUAUUCUACUCCUAAUUCGGGAGAGAAUAACCAAAAAUAUUUCUGUUUUUCCCCUUGUGAAAUAAAUGCUCAAGUUAUCUUGUUACUACCACUUGCUAUAUUAUCUCAUGAGAUGAAUGCUCAAUAUUAAAAAAAAAAUAAUACGAGGAAAUAAAAAGGAGCAAGUGCUCGGAACCUCGAAAGAAAAGAAAAAGUGAGACGAGAGGUAAAAAUGGACAAGUGUCCGACAGUAGAAUUAGGGGUGCAAGAUACCCACCUGAGAGAAAAGAAAAAAGAAGAGCAUCUCAUUCUCCUCAUAAAGUUUCAAAAGCAAGGAAGGUAUGUAUCCCCUCAAAAGAGCAAAGUAGAAUUAGACUUCCACCACCAUUGUUUUCACCAUUGUUAUCACCAUCAUCACCAUAUACCAUUCAUUCGCCACACAUGCACAUCUUGAUUUGGCUUAUUGACUUGUUACUUUGGAUCCAUGGUUUGACUAUGCAAUAAAUGUCUUGUAAGUAUGUAUAUUUUAUCUCCCACCUAUGAGCUCCAGAUAUUAAAGCCUUAUUAGAGUAGGGUGAGAGAGAAGGCAAUGUCACUAUGCUUUAUACCACAAAUACCACAUAUCUUGAGAGAAGGCAUAUACCAUCAAUGCCUUGGUAAGGAUCCAAAAAUACCACAAAAGAGAGACCUGAGAGAAUCAUACAAGGAAUCUCUGAGUUUUAUUUGAAAAUAUGCAAAAAUCCCAGAGCUAUAGCUGAUCAAGAAUAAGAGACAAGGCACUUGGCUAGACUGUUCUAUCUUUUAACCACUCAAGACAGAAGUGACAGUUACAAGUCCCAUGGUGGAGGUAAAGUAAGUAAGUUUUAAGUCUUGACAGUUUACUCUAACUUAGAGAUGAGAUCUUAUUUAAAAGCAUGUGUACCGUCAAAUUUUUAAACAUAUUGCAACAACUUAUGAUCCAUAGCUGAGUCUAUCCUUGCUCAGGGACGAGCAAGAGGUAAGCUUGGGGGAGUUUGUUGACGGUCCUUAAGUAUCAAAUUUAAUUAUCAAAUAAAUAAAGAAAAGGAUCCAAAUGAAAUCAAGAUCUAGACUUAGGGUUUUAUCUGACAGAAUUCCACGAGUUUUGGUGUUUGUCUAUUUCUGCAGGGGGUUAUCAGGAAAUAUGGAAGAAAGGCCCACAUGUUAGGAUUACGUAAAGAUAUUAACGUGCUGCGCAAUUAUCUUACAUCUAGAAGACUCCAGAAGCCACGAGACCGAAGCGGAGGCGAAACGGGGCCAGAGGCAGGGCGCCCGCCCUGUCCUACUGGGCGCCAGCCCCCUGUCCAAGUCCAAUCAGGACUCUGCUUUGCGGGAAGUCUCCACCGACCUAAAGGAUGAAUCUAAACCAUACAAUCUAUGUCGGUUUGAUCCAAGGGCCCAUAUUCACUUGAAGGGACUAUAAAACCAGACCCCCUGGCCCCUGGAGGAGAGAGCCUCUCAACCCUAAUUCAUUGUUCCAUCAAGGGAGAAGAAGCCUCUGAUCGAGAUUAGAGCCACCACAUCAAUUAGAUAUCUAGAUUAGCAUAGCUACAUAGGAUUAGAACUAGAAGGAGUCAAUCUUCGAUUGGUUUCCGGAUCUGUCAAGAGGAUUCUUGGUAAUUCUCUAAUUGUGUUUCUAAUUACUUUCUAAUUAUCUUUGUUCUUCAAUAUUAUGAAUAUGACUUUGUUCUACUUCAAUAUAUUGCUUAUGACUUUGCUCUACUUGCUUAUAUUCAAGAUUAUAUUGUUCUUAGUUUAUCAUAGUUAUGUACUUAGCUUAGUUAGAUACGAUCUAUAUACAUGCUUAGGAUUGUAUAGCGUUUAUCCAUCGGAUCCAUGGGUAAAUGAUAGAUAUUGUGUAGGCGUGGUGCUUAUACCGUAUUUAUCUGCGAUUGUACCCAAUAUGCCAGAUCGUGGGGUAGUUCGUGAUAGUGACAGCUUCAUUGAUUCUUAUAUAGUCCCCCUCUCGUGUAUUGGGCUGGCAGAGCAACAUUAUUACAGGGGAGUGAUUGCUAUGUUUCUCAUAUUCCUUGCUAAUAUCACUAUGCAUGGGCGUAGUCUUGUCUUGCAAUGAUUGCUAAGUAUGCUUGCACUAAUUAUGAUAAUGCUAGACUAUAUAGUUGAGAAUAACUUAGGGAAUAUUCUUGUAGUUCGUUCUAAUACCAUGCUAAUGACUUUCUAGAGUAUCUAAUUGAGGUGCUUAUCAUAUUUAUUAUGUGGCUAGAUCAGAUUAGUUAUUCUUGUCACUAUUAUUAUUUCAUAUAUCUUUUAUGUGACACUUAUCCGUGUAUGAUGAGUUAGAUAUAAUGUUCUCAAUUAUACAUGCAAUGAUAGAUGCUCAAUCUCAUAUUCUAUUCUGUAAUCAUUAGUGAUGAUUUCUAAUCCCUUCCCAGUGGUAAAAAUAUAAAUAACGAUACCUGGAAUACUUCCCGGUUAAAAUGCUACAUCGGUAUUAAUCUGUGCGCUUGCAGAUCCCAUUCAUUAUUUAUUUAGAAGAGCAAUUGCAUAUUUCAAUACCGCGUCUCUUAUAUCAUGCUUGGGAUGACAACUUGGCUUAAGUGGUGUGAGGGAUAGGUUUGGCAUUUUUGGCACCGUUGCUAGAUUUAGAGAACUUAGUCUACUUUUAGUAAUGAUGUUAAGAAUACCCAACACUAACAUUUUCGAAAGGGUGGUUGUAGACACAUAUGCUUAUCAUAAAUAUUAUAGAUCUUGUUGUGUUGAUUCUUGAGAGUAGUGCACUUAGAUUGGUGUUGGAAGGGAAACCACUUCACCAAUCCACAUCUUGAAGGUUUCCCAAGGAUAAGCUUAGUGUCCUAAAACAAGUACUAUUUAAACCAUGACAUGAGUGAUCACCUUUCUACUAUGCUACCAUUGAGCAUAGAAUUAUAAUAGUGAAAAUAUUACUUUGGGUAUUCUUGUCACUAACCUUGCCAUGUUUGGAGCAAAAGAUCAAAGGAAUGACAAACGCAGGUAUGUCCAAUCAAUCAUUAUGCAACAUUGAAUUACAUUCAUCCAAUCUUGAUUAUUGCUAAAGUCAAGCUUGGGGGAUAUGCUACCAUAGAUACAUCUCUAGUCAUGUUUCUACAUCAUCUUGGUUGUCCCUACCUUUAAGUUAUGCUCAACUUGCUAAAGAAUAAUCAUGGUCUUUCAUAACUAUUUGAGUAAACAUCUAUAAUGCUUUCAUGUCACCAUUGAUUGCUAUAGUUUGCGUAGGCUUCGAAGUAUUUUCAUAUGUCUCUUGAAUGAAGCAGGUGCUUAGUUUAGGAGUGGUGAUCUUUCUUCAAAAGGCUUUUAAGUUAUGCGUAGUGCUUAGGUUAAAAUGUCUUCCUAUAUCAAAUUAGAGGUGGUGUCUAGGUUGAUUUUUGAGCUGAUAGUAUGCUAUAGUAGAUAUUGGACUAUUUUUUGUUGGACUAACCUGUGCAGGAAAACUACCAAAUCAAAAUUGGGAAAGUCCUAAGAUGAACUCACACUAGAGAUGAAGGGAUACACAACAGUUUUGUAUAAAGGAAACACAACUCAUUUCUAGCGAAGGAGAAAGAAGAAGGGUAGCAUCAAACAUGAUCCACAAACAAAACCCUCACUGCAUGGAAGUGGGUGAACAAAACUUUCCAUCACGCCACUUGGAGACAAAGAUCACGUGGAGGAAUUUGAGUUGCCGUUUUAGUUGCAUUCUCUUAUCAACCACUAAAUUAUUGAGAAUCAAGAAAAAAUGACAAGAGAAGAGCAAGCAACCUUCUGCACCCUCACCUCUGAGAUUGAGAGGCUGAGACAUGAGGAAGGAAGGCAAACUCCUCAAGAUGAUCCAACCAAGUUCUUCGCCUCUCAUGCUCUCAUCUCUCCACAUACUGGAAUAAAAUAGUAAAGAAGAGUUAAAGGCCCAAGCACAAAAUAAAGAGUGAAUGAAUGAUGGCAUAAGAUAAGAAAGAAGGAGUAUAAUAGAGAAAAUAGUUGGUGCAUUAAUAAAACACAAGACCGACCAACCAAGGAAAGCUUCCACAAGGUACUACACAAUCAACAUGCUUCAAUACUAAAGCUCCGACAACUAGUACUUCACACUUCAAACUGCUGGAAGAACAAUAAACAUGGGUGACACCAUCUCAAGAGGUGCAACUAUCAUGGUCUCGACCUUUGGGAGCAGAUAAAGAACCUAAGGAAUUAACAUGGUAAGAGGUCCUAUUCGAAGGACCUAAAAUACCAAACACCAUGCCAAGAGGUAACUUGAUAGUUAUCAACAUUUCCCUUUUUAGCACUGCAUAUUUAUUCUUCAGCAUAUUCAAUUUCCCUUAAAUGCAUAAUUAGUUGCAUAUCCACUUUACCAUUUCUGCAUUAGAGAAAGAAAAUAAUAAUAUGUCAUGCAUUGCAUCUAGAAAAUGCUAAGUCCCUUGUGAAUAAUUUUUGGUGCGACAACCCACAAAGAUAUCCACGGUGGUGGCAUAAAAAUAAGUUUUCAUCUUAGUGCAUUUUCUACAUACCAUAAAAGAUAAAAGAUAAAAAAAUAUUAAAGAUCCUGCUAAAAGAUAUAUGUGUUAAGAAUGUUCUAGACAUCCAAGGCUUAGAGGUUUAUCACUAACGCUUAAUUAGUUCCACAAGUUUUGCUGUCUAUUUGAGCUUCACAAAAUUUAAAGGAUCAAGAAGAGCUAAUAGGCAGAAGGACAGCCUAUCCCCUGCCAGAGUGUUGUCUUCAAUAGUGAGAGUAUUGUGUCAACAACAACCAUCCCUAACCCUCUAGGAGAACUAGUACGCCUUCACUGCCAGUUAGCAACACCAACAGACUAUGUCAACAUCUAGCUUGGGGGAGAGCACCCCUCGUGUAUCUAGAUAAGUAUGACUAGCUUAUUUAUUUAUUAAAUGUGUUAUGUGUUGGCAUUUCAUAGCGUCAUCACAAAAGAUAGACUAAAAUUUCAUCCUUGCAACAGCGCCAGAAAGCUUGUUGACUCCAGAAGUGGCAAACGGAAAUACCGCAAGCGUAUGAUAGUCAAUGUAGCUUUCACCGGGAGUAUUUGAGGUAUCGUAUUUACCACGUGGAACGUGAAGUGAACUAACUAGGCUCAAGGUCAUCCAUAGGGUCAAGGAUAAGUAAGGAUAGGUAAGUGAUCUCACACAGAUCCUAAUCUAAAGAUAAAUGGUAGAGAGCUAGCUAGGUGGGAGGACAAUGAGUGAGAAAAGACUCCUAUGACUCUAACUUUACUCGUAUCAACAAAUCUAAUCUAGUAGCGGACACACACUAACAUUGCUAAACUUAACUGCUUGUUUGUUGGAAGUCGACUGCAAUAGGAGGACGAAACUCCUAUACAAGAGGACUCAUUUCUUAUGGGCGCCUACAGACCGUACCCGACGUGAAUAGAACCUACUGGGAAGCAGAGGCCUAUCACGCUUCGCCGCCGCCCGCUAUCACGUUUGGUACAGUGUAUUCAAGGGCAGGCUUUAGCCUAAGCACCACACUUAUGCUAACUCCUACUACUCAGACUAAGUAUACGACCUAAUCCAAGCACCAUGUUACCGGUAGAGAAAACAACCCAAGCACUUAAGUCUAACUUAGCUAGUAUAUAACUACUAUAAGACAGACUAAGACACUACAAUAGAAUAUUGCACUAAGUAAAUACUAAAAGUAAAUACUUAGAAAAGUAAAGGAAAAGUAAAUAUAUUAAACACUCAAAGUUUUCUCGCUUUCAAACGAUCAUCAACAACAAGAUUAAAGUAUGAGAACUUCACUCAGCUUGAUGGCGAGUCAAUCGAUGCCAUGUUUUCUCGCUUUUAAAUGAUCAUCAACGAGAUGAGAGCAAACAAGGCACAACUACCUUAUGACGAUCAUGAGAGGGCUCUCAAGCUUCUAUAUGCCCUAGAUCGGAAGGUAUGGGAUGUGAAGGUGUCCGCCAUCAUCGAGUCUUCAAACUAUGACACCAUCACUGUGGACGAGCUGUUCAGCAAGCUCAAGUCCGCCGAGAUCGACUACCAAACUCAAGCCAAGCUCAAGAAUCCCUCUGCACCAACUAUGGCUUUAGUCUCAUGUAACAGUUCAAGUUCUUCAUCUAACCCUUCAAAGAUGUCGUUUGCCUUGUCUUAUUUGGUGUCUGUUUCAAAGGAGCAGUUAGAGACCCUUGGGGAUGACGAGGUGGCGUUGAUCAUCAGCCGGUUCUCGCGGUUCCACAACAACCGCUUGAACCGCCGUCGGGGCGGUGAUCAAAAGGUGGGCUGCUACAACUGUGGAGAUCUUGACCACUUCGUCGCCCACUGCCCCAAGAAGAACAAGCACUUCUCCGACAAGUACGGCUCCGGCAAACGCAAGGACAAGCAUGACUACACCUCCAAGAAGUACAAGUCAAAGAAGGGCUUCGACAAGGAGGCGCUCAAGAAAAUGUACAGCAAGAAAGCCAAGGCGCAAGAGUGUGCCUUCCUUGCUUUCCUCAGCGACCUCGACAACGACUCCGGCGAUGACCGCUCCUCUUCUCCCUCGAUUGACAAUGAGUCCGAGAGGAAGAUGGAGGAGAAGCUGACCGGUCUUUGCUUCAUCGCUGACUCCACUCACGGAGGAUUCUGCACCAUGGUGAUUGAUGAAGAGGUGAAGGCUAGCAAGGAUGAGGUCUCCUUCAAUGACGACACCUCCGAGGUACCUCCUUCUGUCGAUGACCUUGUCGCUGAGCUUGAUAGCAUGAAUAUCACCUUGAUUAGUCAAGAUAAAUUGCUUAAGCGUGCUUCCCCUGAGAGGAAAGAGUUUAAGGACAAGUUAGAGUUGGCGCUUAAGGAGCUUGAGGUUGCUAAGAAGUGUGCUGUGGUUGUGUCAGAUGAAGUAGAGUGCAAUGAGUGUGCUGUUCAUAUGUCUAACUUCUCUGAAUUGCAAUCUAAGUAUGCUGCUUUGCUUGAAGAGUAUGGUGAGCUGAAGGCUAGGCCUGUCUUGUUGGGUGCGUGCAAGUCCUCCUCGGGCUUGCAAUCUGAGCUGGCAGAGAAGAAUGCCAAGAUCUGUGAUCUUGAGAAGGCCAGUUUAGAUAGCGCCGCUGCUAAGUGUGCAUGUUGUGAGAGCUUGGUGCUAGAGCUUGAGUCUUGUAGGCACGAUAAGAUGAGAUCCGAGGAAGACAACACAUACCUUCGGUCGAUCUUGAGCUGGGUAUCUAGCAGUGAGCCACGGUUGGGCAUGAUGAUGAGCCAGUUCAGGAGGGGGACUUGCACAUCGGGUGUAAGCUUUGCUAUAGGUAGGAAGGGUGAAAAUAUUUAUGGCAAGGUGGGUGAGUCUAGUGGUUUGAGCACGAGUGAGAAACAUCCACUACUCCCAAGUUGAUCAAAUUCACUCCACCUGAGCCUUCCAAACCCACUAUCAAAGAUGGAGUGUUUGAAGAACCUCCAAAAGUUCCACCUCAGAAACAAGUAUGGAUUCCAAAACCUAACCAUCUCAGGAACCCACUUGACACUCUACCAAACAUCUCUGAGGAUCCCCGUCCUAAAGCCAAAAAGCCACCAAGAGUGAACCAUACCCACAAGAGAGUGAACCAGUAGCCACCCAAGAGAGAGGUAAGGUAUCACUGUGAGUAUUGCCAUAGGGAUGGUCACUGUUGACGGUCCUUAAUGCUCACAUUUAACCAUCAACUAAUCAUAGAAAAGGAUCCAAAUGCAACUAACACCUAGACUUAGGGUUUUAUUUGACAGAAUUCCACAAGUUUUGGUGUUUGUCUAUUUCUGCAGGGGGUUAUCAGGAAAUACGGAACAAAGGCCCACACGUCGGGUUUACAUAGAGAUAUUAACGUGCCGCACAAUUAUCUACCAUGUAGAAGACUCCAGAAGCCACGGGACCGAAGCGGAGGCCGAGAGGGCUCAGGCACUGGGCGCCCGCCCAACCUUACUGGGCGCCCGCCCUCCCCCCUGGACCAAACAGAGUCCAAUUCGGGGACAACACUCCACCGACCUAAUACUUCAAGGAAAACCACACGAUCAAUGUCGGUUUGAUCCGACGGCCCAGAUUCAAUUGAAGGGACUAUAAAACCAGACCCCCCUGGCCCCUGGAGAUCAUACCUCUUCUACAGAAUCAAAGCUAGGGUUUCAAUUCUUCAUCCAAGUAGAGAGGAUCCCUCUAGUUCUUCUAGUUCUAGUUCUAGUUAGUUCUAGUUGUAAUCUAGAAAAUAGGGAGAGAUAAGAGGAGAGCGGAGGAGGAGCCGGAUCUGUCGGAUCUUCCUCAACAUUAUACUUUUGCAGCAUCUGGUUCGUUCUUCAUCGUUCUCCAGGUUCUUCAAUUCAUAACUCCUGAGUUCUCUAAUUACUUUUAUUUACAUUCAAGUUAUUUAUUGGAUUCCCGCUUGCAUCAAGUGCUCUAGUCUUUAUAACGCUAGAGUAGUAAUUAAUAGAUUAAACGUGGUGUUUAGUCUUGCAAUUACCUGGAAUUGCACCCAAUCCUGCGGAUUGUUGUGGUAGCCUUAGGGUAGUGACAGCCCUAACGGUCGAUGUAUUCCACCACGUUCGGAUCGGUGUUUGUAGGACCGUAGUCAGACCUUCCUAGCCCCCUUCUCAUCUCUUUCUGUGGUUAAUGCUCUGAUGUCCCGAUAUAGAUAAUCUUAAAGUAAUUCUUGAUUCUUAGAUCAACUAGAGAACUCUCAGGAAACUUCCUCUCUUCCCACCAAAAAUAAUCAUAUUAGUUAUCCUUGGGCGAUCUUGGAUCUUAGUUAGUACACUCACGUUCCCUGUGGAAAAUCGAUACUCUGGAAUACUCCCGGGUGAAGGCUACAUCGGUAUCCGUGCGCUUGCGGAUUUUUCUGUUUGCGUUUAAAAUACCCAACAAGCUUUCUGGCGCCGUUGCCGGGGAACGGUAGCUGUGCUAGUUUCGAACCAAGUCGUCCGUGUAUCCUUUUUCUUUUCUUUUUUCUACCACACUCACCUUACCAUUUUCACCAUACCACAUGGAUUUCACUCUAAGCAUUAAUGAGCAUGGAAUUUAUUUCAUAGCCACUUCAUUUACUCCAUGCUCAUAUGCAACAUCUUCACAAUCCAUGGGUCUUUCCAACAUCACCACAUUCGAGAUCUCCAACCCCCUCAUCCUUUCUAUUUAUAAAAACUUUAAAAGGGCGGUUGUUGAUGCAUAUGUCUAUAAUAAAUUUUGCAGAUCUCGUUGAGUUUAUCUUGAUAUAGGUCAGCGUUGGAGGGGAAACCACUUCGCCGACAUAAAUUGAUGGUUUCCCAAGGACAAGCUUAGUGUCCUAAAACAAGCACUGAUCAGAUCGUAACAUGUGCUUUUAAUUAUUUGCAACAUUACCUUGUGUAUUGAGCAUAUAAAGAUAAUUGUAGAAAAAUUCCCUCGGGUAUUCUUGUCACUAACCUUUCCAGGAUUGCAGCAAGAAGAUCGGAUGAAUGACAAGUACAAGGUAUGUCCAACCAAUCAUCAUACAACAUUGAAUUAAAUUCAUCCAAACUUGAAUUUUGCAAAAUUCAAGCUUGGGGGAGUACUUUACAUAAAAAACAUCCUUUGCCAUGUUGCUAUGUUGAUUGUCCCUACCUUUGAGACAUGCUCAAUUUGUUAAAUACUAAUCACACUACUUUAUCUCCACUUGAGUAGAUCUCUAUAAAUGCUCUCAUGCUACCUUUAUUUGCUUUAGUAUAUGUCUAGGUUUGGAGUAGUUUCAUUUAUCUCUUAAUUACGCAUGGUGCUUAGUUUAGGGCUCAUGAUCUUACUUCCAAGGGAGUUUAAAUUAAGCAUGAUGCUUAGGUUAAAAUGCCCUCCUAAAUCAAAUUAGACAUGGUGUCUAGGUUGAUCUUUGAGCCGAUAGUAUGCUAUAGUAGAUAUUGGAUAUUUUGUUGGACUAACCCCUGCAGGAAAACUUUCAAUAUCGACCUGGGAAGUCCUGAGAUAAACUCACAUUGGAGACAAAGAGAGAGACGCAUGAAGGUUAACAAUUUACACAAGGAAGUCAUAGCUCACAAGAGAUGAUCCAUGGAGGGUGCCACAAACACGAUGCACAACCGCUAAGAGAGGAAAGUGUUGACGGUCCUUAAGUACUAAAAUUAAUAAUCAAAUAAACAUGAAAAAGGAUCAAUAUGAAACAAACAUCUAGAAUUAGGGUUUUAUCUGACAGAAUUCCACGAGUUUUGGUGUUUAUCUAUUUCUACAGGGGUUUAUCAGAAAAUAGGGAGAGAAGGCCCACAUGUCAUGUUUACAACGAGAUAAUUACGUGCCGCGCAAUUUUCCUUGAUCUGGAAGGAUCCAGAAGCCACGGGAACGAACGAGAGGGGAUUCGGGCUCGGGGGCUGGGCGGCCGCCCACCCCCCUUGGGCGCCCGCCCAGGUGGAGAGUCCAAUCAGGACUCUGCUUCGGGACAAUCCUCCACCGACCUAAAGGAUCAAUCUAAACCAUACAAUCUAUGUCGGUUUGAUCCAAUGGCUCACGUUCACUUGAGGGGACUACAAAACGAGACCCCCUGGCCCCUGGAGGAGAGGAGGAGAAAUCAUUAUUCAGAGGUAGCCAUCAAAGUUAGGGUUUAGAGCUUCUCUCCCACAGAGAAUUAGAAUUAGCUACUCCCUAAUCCUUCAAGUUUAGAGGUUUGAUUAGAUAGCAAUUAGAGAAGUAGAGCACUACGCUCUGGAUUCGGAUCUUCGGUAAUAAAGAUUGGUAUUAUUCAUAUCUUUCUCUAAUUCUAUUGUUCUAAUUGCAUUAUGUCUCUAAUUAUUAUGUUCUUAGUUUGCUCUAGUUCUAUAUUUGAUAUAGUUCUAAUUGAUAAUGAGUUUAUGUAUAAGUUUGCAAAGCGCUUAGCUCUUGUCACGAGGGAGUUAGGUGAUAGAUCACAUGUGAGCGUGGUGCUUAGAUGUUAUUUAUCUGCAAAUGUAUCCUAUUGGCCGAGUCGUGUGGUAGUUCGCGAUAGUGACAGCUUCGUUGAUUCUUAUAUAGUCCACCCUCCGUUGAUAGGACAGGCAGAACCGGUAUUGUGGAGUAAGUCAUGCGAUGUUCUGAUUUACUUUAUCAAUGUUCCUUAUACAUGAAUGAAGAGUCUUUUAUGCUAUAUAUGAUCUUGUAGAUAACUAGAGUAGAUUAUGACUUAGUAGUUAGUAGAUAACUUAGAAUCCAUUCUCUAGCUAAUCCGACAUCACCUACAUAUAUGAGGAGUAGUCUAUUUUCUAAUCGCUGUGCUCUUUACCCCAUGAACUUAUACUUUAUUAUCAUUAUCUUUAUGGUUUACCCCCUGCUAAAGUAUGUGACUGUGUGACGAGUUUCUCAUUAGUAAUCAUGUUCUUGCAAGUUUAUCUCUAGUCUAUGCCUUGAUAGAUUUUGCCCCCUUUGAUUUAAUUCCAUCUUCCUCAGAUCCCUAAGCAAAAUUAUAAAUAACGAUACCUGGAAUACUUAUCCUGGUGAAAUGCUACAAUGAGGUGUUUUAUCUGUGCGCUUGCGGAUAGAAUAGAUUAUUUUCUAGAGAGCCUUUACAUUUAUAAAUACCUUUGUACACUCUGGCGCCAUGCUAGGGAUGACAACCUAGUAUCUAAGUGGUGUUAGCUAGUGUCAACAAGCAUUUCUGGCGCCGUUGCCGGGGAGUUACGGAGACAUGUUAGAAUUAUAAGAAUUAUAUGAGUCUCAGGAAUAAGUCGUAAAAGGGGAACAAAGGAGUAAUAUUGAGGAAAGCCAGAAAAUCAAUCAAGGUUAUUCAUAUAAAAUUUUAGACUAGACUAUAGAGAAAUAAUUGCAUAAAACAACUACUAAGUGAGAAAUCAUAACAAGGCACCGCUGCUUUGGCAGGUUCACCCUGUUGUUUUUCUAUGUUUAUAUUUUUAUACAGGGUAUAACAGGAUUGACUUUGGGUACAUUCAACUCUUCAUCAUCAGAACCGAAGCAAUCAAGAGAAGAAGAAGCUAGUUACCAAUUGCUGAAGCUAUGGCACAAAAGACCUUGCCAGAAUUCUCUGCUCCAAGUCUUGAGAACAUUCCAACUGGUCCAAGAUUUGCAGUAGAAGAAGGAAUACCUGAGUUUGAGCUCAAGUCAAGCCUCAUCAAUUUGGUACAAGCUACACAAUUCAGUGAAAAGGCACAUGAAGAUGCCAGUGCACACUUGCAGAAUUUCUUAGAGAUUGGAAGCACAAUCCACAUCAACGGAGUUGACAAAGACGUCAUACUGCUUCGCCUUUUUCCAUUCUCAUUAGAAGGAAAAGCGAGGAAGUGGUUCUACACUCAUCAAGAUAACAUCAACAACUGGACGAACUUGUCAGAUGCCUUUCUAUCAAAGUUUUUCCCUAUAGGCAAAACAACUGCCUUAAGAGGAAAUAUUGUCAGUUUCCAACAGCAGAAGACAGAAGCCAUUUCAGAAGCAUGGGAGCGUUUUCAAGGAUACAUAUCAGAUUGUCCUCACCAUGGAAUGGCCACAUGGUUACUUAUGUAGACCUUCUACCAUGGAUUAACCCAGAAGGCUCGUGAGUGCCUAGAUGCAUCUGCUAAAGGAUCAUUCUUGGAGCUUACAACUGGAAAAGCAGAGAUACUUUUGGAUAAGAUAGCAGAAAACCAAAGCUGGUUCCAAGAUAAAGCUCAACAUUGUCAUCAAACUGAAGAAAUACUAGAAGAAAUAAAUGCAUUAUCAACUAAGAUGGAAAAUUUGCUCCAUUGGAUUGACCAGAGGGCCAAGUUCAAAGAAGAUCAAAGGGCCAUUGAGACAGCAUACAAAUAUCAACCAACUUCGAGUCAACCCAAUAGCAAAGGUAUGAAUUCAGGUAAUACUGUCAAGCAACUUUCAUUAAAAGAGAUAAUUGCUCAACAAACCAAAAUUAAUGAUGAAGUUAAACAAAGGCUAGAUACAAAUGAAUCAUCUCUAAAAGAUAUACACAAUAAAAUGGAUUUUCUACUAACCGCCUUUGAUGAGCAAAACACUCUUAAUAAAAGGGUAGAGCUUAAAUUAAUAAAGUUAGCUGCUGCACUGCCUGUUGCUACUAACAUUGAGCAGGUAAAGAAUAUAACUACUAGAGGAGGUAAAGCUACCAGAGAUCCACCAUACCCAAAAGAGAAACAAAGAACAUCAGCACCAGUGCAACCAGCAGUAAUAGAAGAAGAAAGCCCAGUUGAAGCAGAAGAUCUGCUCCAACCACCAAGAACUGGAGAAAUGAGGAAAGAUUUUUACGACACCAACUAUUUUCCAUUUCCCAGAAGAAACAGAGCACUGCAGUCGGAUGAGCAGUUUGGUAAGUUUGUAGAGGUCAUUCAGAAAUUAUAUGUCAACAUACCUCUGCUCGAUGCCAUACAGGUACCUACAUAUGCAAAGUACAUCAGAGAUAUUCUUAACAAGAAGAGACCACUGCCCACCACUAAGGUUAUCAAGCUGACGGAAGAAUGUAGUGCGGCCAUCCUCAAUAAGCCACCAAAGAAGAAGGAAGAUCCCGGAUGUCCCACUAUAGAUUGCUCGAUCGGAAACCAACACUUCAACAAUGCACUUUGUGAUCUCGGAGCAAGUGUCAGUGUGAUGCCAGUAUCAGUCUACAAAAAGCUUGAGCAUGCGACCUUAGAACCAACAUCAAUGUGCCUACAACUAGCGGAUCAAUCGGUUCGACACCCGUUGGGCAUCGCCGAGAACAUUCCAGUCAAGAUCAGAGAUUUCCUGGUGCCAGUAGACUUCGUAGUACUGGACAUGAGUCCUGACUCAAAAGUGUCCAUCAUCCUUGGAAGGCCAUUUCUGAGCACUGCCAAUGCCCACAUUGAUGUCGGGAAGGGAGAAAUCAAGUUCAACAUAAACGGUCAAGAAGAACACUUCACAUUCAAACCCAGACCAGAGAGAGACUCUACAGUGAAGGAAGUUCAAGAAGAACAACUGGAGACACCAUCUCCAGAGGAAGGUAACUCAGAAGAUUAAAAGAUUUGGAGGUCCAGCUUGGGGGACCUAAAAAUCCCAAACCCUCACCGGGAGGUAAAUCGGUAUUUAUCCGCAUUAUCAAUUUUCUCAUUCUUGCAUAAUUAAUUCUUGCAUUAGUCAUAGCAUUAUUAUAAUAAUCAAAAAGCCCCAUAUAAAUAAUAUUUGUGGUGUGUAACAACCCAUAUUUAUUAUUGUGGAGGCACAAAAAUAUUUUCCAUUAUCAUUUUCAUUAAGUUUCGAUUCUCAUAGAUUUUCCUGCAUUAUAUUUAAUCAUAUUAAUCUUCUAGAAGCAUGACCCACACUCUUUGGGUCCCACAUGUCAUACACUUCACCUCACAUACAUCCCAUCACAUAAUUUCAUCCACCAAUAUAUUUCCACUCACCUGACAUCUUUCCACCGUCCAACCACCACCAACACAACAUUAUUUUGCGUGAGAUCAAAGCAAGGAAGCAAGUGGAGGAAGCACACCCAGGAUGGACACCAGGGGUGGGCGCCCGCCCACCUACCUUGGGUGCCCGCCCUGUCCCCUGCUCAGCCUAUAAAAGGCCACCUCCAGCUUUCCUUCUCUUCACACAAACACUUCAGAAAACCACACAAAUCUCAAUCUCCCGAGAAGGAGCUUUUGUAGUGAAGAGAAGAGAGUAGAGAGAAAGAGGAGAGUGGACGAGAAAGUUGGAGUUCUUUUGAGAGAGUGUUUAUCACCUAGCAAGUAGUGAUCCCGCUGUCUAAGCGGAAGUAAAAGUUGUUUAGGGGGAGGCUCUACCAAAAUAGAAACUUGUCUUGAACGAUUAACCCCUGGACUACUGACACUCCCGACAGCUGACCACUAACAUUUUAUCUCACAUUUUCCACCAGUUGUGUUUUUGCCAACUUUUGUUUGCAGGAUGUUUAAGAAGGUGAAGAAUGCAGGGAAGGCUCUCAAGAACAUUGGUACAAGGAGUUCAUCCCGACACUCCUCACAACCAUCAGAGAUGAGUGUCGACCCGACACCCACACAAGCUCCAUCAUCUUCAUCAGGCCAGCAAGUCAAGGUCCUUCUCAAGAUAGGAGACCUAGGACUGAAGACCCGAAGAGAGAAGGAAGUCUAUCAGCAACUGAAGAACAAAGAUUUCAUUCACACCCCUACUAUCGAUCCAAUCCUACUACGAGAAACAGGUAUGGACACUGAAUUUGACUUAAUUUUUCAAAUGAUGGGUUGGACAAAUUUUUGGAAUAUAACUGAGCUGGGUUCUCGUCUUCUCACCCUCGAAUUUCUUUGUACUUUACAAUACUAUGAGGGGGGAAUUGUUUUUCGGAUGUUUAAAUAGGAAAUUAUGCUGUCUUGGAGAGAGCUGAGCGACCAUCUUGGUUUCUCUUCAAGAUGCAUCCUAAACAUCGACUCCGAUUUACCCAAUUUUGAGAGACACCAGUUUUGGAGAGAAAUAUCUAGAUAUAAGUUUUACAGUCAAGCCCGAACCAGUGACAUGGAACACCCCACUCUUAGGAUGUUUCACAAAUGGCUUGGGUACAAUCUUUUCUAUCGUGACGAUAUUAGGAAAGUAAGAGUAGGAGAUUUACAACUUUUAUAUGCUGCUAUUAGUAAAGUACCUACUUCACCUGUUACACUAUUAGUUUCACAUUGGCUUAGUAUACCUAGUCUGCAGGGACCAGUAGGAUGUACUUCACUUAUCACUCGUCUAGCCACUAAUCUUCACUUACUAGAAAACUCAUCAUUGGACUUCAUAGGAGAAUUAAGGAUUUAUCAUGGCUAUGACACAUUUAGACAAGCUCGGAUGUUAAAGAAAGAGGGGAAUAUAAUGUAUAUGCUAUAUGAUGAUAAAGGCAAGAUUCGGUUACCUAACCCGAACCUUGGCCUCUACUCUGUGCAAAACUUUUUGAUUGAGAUUGCAGCAACACCAGUGAACCAGAGAACUCCACAGCGAGUGGCAUCUGAAAGGAUAACCACUCACCGAGAACGCACUUGGUAUGGAGCUGACCCUGGACCAGAAGAAGCAGCGCACCUGCAUUAUUGCGAUUACAAUCCACGAGUCCUUCGAGACCCAUGGGCUCGAUAUGCACAACCACAAGAGCCAACAGAGGAGACAUGGCCGGAGAGCCAAGAUCACCAGUGGACAAACCCGCCUUUUCAUACGUGCAGGUACUCCACUGAUCCAUAUGGAGCUUCAGGAUCCAGACCUCCACCCCAAUUUGAUGCAGGACGAUACUCCGACGCCUCCUACGCCUUCACGAAUGACUACUAUCAAGAGGCCGAUGCUUUCUUUACUCGUACCGACAACACCCUCCUCAACAUCCAGAACACGCAAGCAGAACAUGGAAGACUCCUGGAAGAGCAACAAAAAUGGAACCAGGACCAUGCCGCUACAGUAGAAGAGCUGAGACAAGAUACAACAACAAUGAACGACAACAUCACAACCAUGAUGCGAUUCUGGAACAUCGGGUAAGACCGACGUCAACAUCCAGCUUGGGGGAGUUCCUCCCAAAUUUAUCAAGUAAGUUUUUAUUUGCUCUUCUUAUUUAUUCUAUUCUGUCUUAGUAUUUAAUUUUACCGACGUCAACAUCCAGCUUGGGGGAGUUCCUCCCAAAUUUAUCAAGUAAGUUUUUAUUUGCUCUUCUUAUUUAUUCUAUUCUGUCUUAGUAUUUAAUUUAUCUUAAAAGGAAAAGCUUAGAAAACCAAAUAAAUAUUUUCUUGCUUUAAUUUACUGCACUUUAUAAACAUGAAAACAAAAUAAAAAGAGUGUGUAGAUAAGUGUGCUUUAUCUUCCUGCUAAGUUUAAUCUCUAGAAAAAUAAAAAGACCAAAAAUAUACAUGAUGGAAAUGAUGAAUAGUUGCUCUGUUUGCUCACUUACAAGUACCUAGCUUUUAUAUUAGAAUUCUUCCAGGAAUUACUAAAACUAAAAUUACUAUCUUUGGGAAAGCAUAAACUAAAGUCUAGGUAAGAGAAAGGCAUGAUAUAAAGUUGAGCUACUGUUUAUCUCGUUCCUACUACACUAAAUUCUGGAGAUUUAUUUUUGAAAACUUACAAAUCACAUGAUGAGUUCCUAGCAUAACAAACUACCUACCACAGCCAUACUUGCUAUAACAUCUUUACUAUAUUCACAUUGAGUUUGAUCGAGAUGUGUUGACCCUUAGGAGCUUUUCAUGUGGUUAAAUUAAGAUAUUCACUUGCACGCAUCUACCACAGCAUUCAUUAUCAAUCAUUAAAAUUGCUAAAAAUAUUAUCACUCACUGUCCCGAAUAUUGUUAUUCUCUCUCUCUAAAAAGAUUCAAUGCAGAAGAGGCAUGGGUUAUGCAAAAAAAAUAUAUAUACGAGGAAAUAAAAAGGGGCAAGUGCCCGGAACCUCGAUAAAAGAAAAAGAGUGAGACGAGAGGUAAAAAUGGACAAGUGUCCGAAGUAGAAUUAGGGGUACAAAGAUGCCCACUUGAGCGGAAAAAAUGGACAAGUGUCUGACAGUAGAAUUAGGGGUAUCCACUACCCAUCUAAAAAAAAGAUAGCCCAUGUUCUCCCAAAGCAAAGAUCAAAGAAGAGGAGAGAUAGCAAUAUGAGGAGCAAUGAGAAGUAAAUUUUAUUAUCACUUAUGCAUUUUCACCAUCACUAUCAUUUACUCCAUCACACAUGCACAUCUUGAUUUAAUUAUAUGCUGAGUUCCUUUGGAUCCAUGGCUCGAUUAGACAACAUAUGUAUGAGCUGUUUGCACUCCUAAGAGCUCCACUUAAUUAUUCUAUUAGCUAUAGGCAAGUGAUAUUAUGGUAAGGAUCCACAAAUACUACAUAUAGAGAGACUUGAGAGAAUCAUUGCUGGGAACUCUGAGUUUUAUUUUAAAAACUUAUGAAAAACUCUAGAACAAAGGUGAAGUAUAGACAGGAGGGAUAGUGCUUGACUUAACUAUUUUGUCUUUCGAUUACUUAAGACUUAAGUGCAGGUACUAAACUUCAUAACACUUCACUGUAAUCUGGAAGAAUUUUUAUGUAAAAGCAUGUGUGCCUGUCAUGAAAGAAAACAUCGAAGCAACUCCUGAUCCGUCUGAGUUUAGCUAUUUGCUCAGGGACGAGCAAAGGGUAAGCUUGGGGGAGUUUGUUGACGGUCCUUAAGUACUAAAAUUAAUAAUCAAAUAAACAUGAAAAAGGAUCAAUAUGAAACAAACAUCUAGAAUUAGGGUUUUAUCUGACAGAAUUCCACGAGUUUUGGUGUUUAUCUAUUUCUGCAGGGGUUUAUCAGAAAAUAGGGAGAGAAGGCCCACAUGUCAUGUUUACAACGAGAUAAUUACGUGCCGCGCAAUUUUCCUUGAUCUGGAAGGAUCCAGAAGCCACGGGAACGAACGAGAGGGGAUUCGGGCUCGGGGGCUGGGCGACCGCCCACCCCCCUUGGGCGCCCGCCCAGGUGGAGAGUCCAAUCAGGACUCUGCUUCGGGACAAUCCUCCACCGACCUAAAGGAUCAAUCUAAACCAUACAAUCUAUGUCGGUUUGAUCCAAUGGCUCACGUUCACUUGAGGGGACUAUAAAACCAGACCCCCUGGCCCCUGGAGGAGAGGAGGAGAAAUCAUUAUUCAGAGGUAGCCAUCAAAGUUAGGGUUUAGAGCUUCUCUCCCACAGAGAAUUAGAAUUAGCUACUCCCUAAUCCUUCAAGUUUAGAGGUUUGAUUAGAUAGCAAUUAGAGAAGUAGAGCACUACGCUCUGGAUUCGGAUCUUCGGUAAUAAAGAUUGGUAUUAUUCAUAUCUUUCUCUAAUUCUAUUGUUCUAAUUGCAUUAUGUCUCUAAUUAUUAUGUUCUUAGUUUGCUCUAGUUCUAUAUUUGAUAUAGUUCUAAUUGAUAAUGAGUUUAUGUAUAAGUUUGCAAAGCGCUUAGCUCUUGUCGCGAGGGAGUUAGGUGAUAGAUCACAUGUGAGCGUGGUGCUUAGAUGUUAUUUAUCUGCAAAUGUAUCCUAUUGGCCGAGUCGUGUGGUAGUUCGCGAUAGUGACAGCUUCGUUGAUUCUUAUAUAGUCCACCCUCCGUUGAUAGGACAGGCAGAACCGGUAUUGUGGAGUACGUCAUGCGAUGUUCUGAUUUACUUUAUCAAUGUUCCUUAUACAUGAAUGAAGAGUCUUUUAUGCUAUAUAUGAUCUUGUAGAUAACUAUAGUAGAUUAUUACUUAGUAGUUAGUAGAUAACUUAGAAUCCAUUCUCUAGCUAAUCCGACAUCACCUACAUAUAUGAGGAGUAGUCUAUUUUCUAAUUGCUGUGCUCUUUACCCCAUGAACUUAUACUUUAUUAUCAUUAUCUUUAUGGUUUACCCCCUGCUAAAGUAUGUGACUGUGUGACGAGUUUCUCAUUAGUAAUCAUGUUCUUGCAAGUUUAUCUCUAGUCUAUGCCUUGAUAGAUUUUGCCCCCUUUGAUUUAAUUCCAUCUUCCUCAGAUCCCUAAGCAAAAUUAUAAAUAACGAUACCUGGAAUACUUAUCCUGGUGAAAUGCUACAAUGAGGUGUUUUAUCUGUGUGCUUGCGGAUAGAAUAGAUUAUUUUCUAGAGAGCCUUUACAUUUAUAAAUACCUUUGUACACUCUGGCGCCAUGCUAGGGAUGACAACCUAGUAUCUAAGUGGUGUUAGCUAGUGUCAACAGAAAGCUUCCACAAGGUGAUACUAUACCAUCACUCUUCAAGUAAGGUAAUAUCUUAAGGUACAUGACUAUCACUUUUAUAAGUUUCUCCUUGGUUCUGGCGUUCACAUGAGCAAAAGAGACAAACAUGUAUGAUUUACAACUCUAGAUUAACCAACCCAAUAUAUUCAACAUGUUUAGUCCUUCCACCUUUGUGAUCCCACACUCCUAAUCUUAUGAACUAAAAUGUUGCACACUCAAUCUUUGGAAGAUAUAUUUUAUAAAAAAAACAACAUAAAUAUAGAUAAAUUAUCUUUCCAUUAGGUUGAGCGAUUUGAUCUGACAAAUGUUUUAAAUGCUACACUCAUGAUCAUAUUAUUCAUCAACUUUGUCUUGCUCACUAUGCUUAAGGAUAGAGAAGAACAAAUACACUUUUGGUUUUGUUGGUGUUUUCCACCAACAGGGCCCAUGCACUUGAUCUCUGCCUUGUCUAUGAGCAGGUACACUUCGAGUAAAAUAUGAAGGACUUUUACAAUUCCCAGACUCCACCAAGUGAAGUACCUAGAUCUACGAGCACAAACACACUGGAGAUACUGGACACUCAGGCAAUCACUGCCCUGAGAUGCUUGAGGACGUAACUACUGGAGUAACCCCAUUGUGGAAGUAAUUACUGACCUUCUGCUGGUCAAGAGAGACAACCCAGGAUGCCCCGUCAUCCCGAUCUCCAUCGGCAUGGUGGACUUCCUAGAAGCACUCUGCAACUUUGGCUCCAGCGUCAACAUUAUGCUCAGGGUACUCUAUGAAAAAUUCUUUACACAUCCUUUCCUAGAAACAACCAUGUGUUUGCAGCUUGCAGAUCAGACACUAAGUUUCCCAAAGGGAAUAUUGAAGAACCUCUACAUCCGAGUUGGUACCUUAUACGCUCCAGCAGACUUCGUGGUGAUAGAGACUGAUACUGAUGAGAGGGCACCCAUCAUCCUAGGGAGGCCAUUCCUGAACACCUCGAGAGCUGUCAUCUACGCUAGUGCUGCCAAGAUCAGUUUCUACAUCAAGGGGAAGAAGGAGACGUUUUCCUUCAAGAACAAGACUACACAAAUCUUAGAGCAAUCCCGACAUGAAACAAGGAAGAGGACCAACAGGAGGAACAAAAACAAGCAAAUGUGGACCAAGUCAGCAAAGAUGGUCACUGCAGUUCAAGGAGGUCAAGAUCGUCGACUUAAAUCACCGUUCCUAACCAAAAAGGACGACCCAAGUAUGCCAAGCAUCCAGUGCUCCAUUGAUGGAUACAACUUCCAGAAGAUACUUUGCGACACCGGGUCAGGCGUCAACAUAAUGGCCGCCAGUCACCUAUCGGCUCCUAUUCGGAACCAUGCCCCUAAAACCGACAUACAUUCAGCUUCAGAUGGCAGAUCAGACAUUUUGAAACAUUGAAGGUUAUUGACAUGGGAGAAGACGAGUACGAUCCACCCAUCGUCCUUGGAAGACCGUUCUUUGGCACCAUUAAAGCAAUCAUAUACAUUGGAACCAGAGAAGUCCACAUGCACUUCCCCUCAGAGAAGGUACGCCACUGUUUUACUGACCCUAACUAUAUAGUUGAAGACUCUAAGCAGGUCAGGACAAAAAGAAGAUGACGCAACCGCAACCAGAGGAGGCAAAUCAUCAAGGAUGGAUGGGCAGACUACGAAGGAGAAGUUGUAAGGUCUGAAGACAUACAACUUGAACAGAACUGUCCUGAGGAGACCGUAGCACUGAGGCAGGUGUAGAGAGAGAAGAUAGUUAUACACGAAGAGCAGGCACCGCCGGAACCACCGACUACGCCAUCCAGCGAAUCCCAGGACGACUAAGAAAACGGAGAGUCCCGUUCGGAGGACGUAAAAACACCGAACGCCUUUCCAAAAGGUAAACUUGGUAGUUAUCUUUUUCCUUUCAAUUAUUUAAAAUAGUUUGGUUAGUUAAUCAGGUUCAUAUCAUCUUGAAAAGAAAAUAAAAAUGUUAAGUAAGCCCCAUGUAAGUAUGCUCAUGGCAUAAAACCCAUAAGUACAUUCACUAUGGUGGCAUAAAAAUAAAAUAAAUAUAUUCUUGUCCUAUAAAAAUAAAAAUAUAAAAAUAAGAUUGUGAUCCUACUAAAAAGAGUGUAACAUUUAUUGAGGAGGCUCAACAUGAUAAAGGCUAGAUAUUUAUGCUAACACUUAACUAGUUCCACAAAGCUUUGUUGUCUAUUUGAGCUCCACAGAAUUCAAGGAUCAAAGAAGACUAGCAGACGGAGGACAUCCUAAUCGCUUUCAGAGUGCUGCCGACAUUCAAAUACACCUCCGCCACCUGCUAGCUACAUCAGAAGAAAAUUCGUCAAAAUCCAGCUUGGGGGAGAGCACCCCCAUUUAUCCAGCUAAGUGUUCUACUCAUCUUUAUACUUUACUGAAAUAAUAAAAAGAUGCAUAAUCAUAAAAACCCAAAUAAAGAUUUUGUGCUUAUAUAUAUAUAUCUUUGCUUAGUUUGCUAAAUAAAUAAAUAAAUAAAGUUUGCUAUGAACCCUCAUGAUAAGCUCUCACAUGGAAAUAAUGAAUAGUUGCUCUGCCAUGAUUAGUUCUAAAAAUUGAAACCUCUCUUAAGUUUAGGCAUGACUGUUAUUAAUUAAGAUUUGCUCUAAACCUGAACUUGUGGGGAGAGUACUUGAUCCAAAGUCUAAGUCGUUAAGGAUACGAUAUGGGAAGGUUGAGCUGCUGUUUAUGUGUUCCUAGAGAUGCUAGAAUUCUGGAGAAUUUUAUCUUUGAAAAUCUUUAAAUUGUUGCAUGAUGAGUUCCUGUAUGAUGAGAGUUUAAAUUCCUACCACAGCCAUAUAUACAUGCUUGCUAGACUUUGAGCCACACAUUUACUUUUUACUUCUUAUGAGCAUUGAGUGUGGUCAAGCUUUGUAGACCCUUAGGAGCUUGUCAUGUGGUUAAAUCAAGAUUCACUUGCACGUUCACUCAUACAUGCUGCUUCUACUCCGGAAGUACGCAUCCACAUAUAUCCAUCCAUUUCCAUCUCCAGAACCACCCAAAAAUAUUCUACUCCUAAUCCGGGAGAGAAUAGCCAAAAAUAUUCCUGUUUUUCCCCUGUGAAAUAAAUGCUCAAGUUAUCUUGUUACUACCACUUGCUAUAUUAUCUCAUGAGAUGAGUGCUCUAAAAAAAAGAAAAAAAAAGAAAAAAAAUAUAUAUACGAGGAUAUAAAAAGGGGCAAGUGCCCGGAACCUCGACGAAAAGAAAAAGUGAGACGAGAGGUAAAAAUGGACAAGUGUCCGAUAGUAGAAUUAGGGGUACAAGAUACCCACCAGAGAGAAAAGAAAAAGAAAACAUAGAGCAUCUCAUUCUCCUCAAAAAGUUUCAAAAGAGCAAGAAAGGUAUGUAUCCGUUCAAAAGAGCACAAGUAGAAUUAGACGUUCACCAUUGUUAUCACCAUCAUCACCAUACACCAUUCAUUCGCCACACAUGCACAUCUUGAUUUGACUUAUUGACUUGUUCUUCUGGAUCCAUGGUUUGACUAUGCAAUAAAUGUCUUGUAAGUAUGUAUUAGCUGUCUCCCACCUAUGAGCUCCAGAUAUCAAAACCUUAUUAGAGUAGGGUGAGAGAGAAGGCAAUGCCACUAUGCUUCAUACUACAAAUACCACAUACUUUGAGAGAAGGCAUACACCUUUACUGCCUUGGUAAGGAUCUAGAAAUACCACAAAAGAGAGACUAGAGAGAGUCAUAUAAGGAAUCUCUGAGUUUUAUUUGAAAAUCUGCAAAAACUCCAGAGCUAUAGUUGAUCAAGAACAUGAGACAUGGCGCUUGACUAGACCGUUCUAUCUUUUAACUGCUCAAAACACAGGUGAUGGUCGCAAGCCCCAUGGUGAAAGGUAAAUGAGUAAGUUUUAAGUCUUAACAGUUUACUCUAACUUAGAGAUAAAAUCUUGUGUGAAUGCAUGUAUAUCUUUAAGGCAUGAAACCACUGCAGAAACUCUUGAGUUCAUCUUUGCUCAGGGACGAGCAAAGGUUAAGCUUGGGGGAGCUUGUUGACGGUCCUUAAUGCUCACAUUUAACCAUCAACUAAUCAUAGAAAAGGAUCCAAAUGCAACUAACACCUAGACUUAGGGUUUUAUCUGACAGAAUUCCACAAGUUUUGGUGUUUGUCUAUUUCUGCAGGGGGUUAUCAGGAAAUACGGAAGAAAGGCCCACACGUCGGGUUUACAUAGAGAUAUUAACGUGCCGCACAAUUAUCUACCAUCUAGAAGACUCCAGAAGCCAUGGGACCAAAGCGGAGGCCGAGAGGGCUCAGGCACUGGGCGCCCGCCCUACCUUACUGGGCGCCCGCCCUCCCCCCUGGACCAAACAGAGUCCAAUUCGGGGACAACACUCCACCGACCUAAUACUUCAAGGAAAACCACACGAUCAAUGUCGGUUUGAUCCGACGGCCCAGAUUCAAUUGAAGGGACUAUAAAACCAGACCCCCCUGGCCCCUGGAGAUCAUACCUCUUCUACAGAAUCAAAGCUAGGGUUUCAAUUCUUCAUCCAAGUAGAGAGGAUCCCUCUAGUUCUUCUAGUUCUAGUUCUUCUAGUUCUAGUUCUAGUUAGUUCUAGUUGUAAUCUAGAAAAUAGGGAGAGAUAAGAGGAGAGCGGAGGAGGAUCCGGAUCUGUCGGAUCUUCCUCAACAUUAUACUUUUGCAGCAUCUGGUUCGUUCUUCAUCGUUCUCUAGGUUCUUCAAUUCAUAACUCCUGAGUUCUCUAAUUACUUUUAUUUACAUUCAAGUUAUUUAUUGGAUUCCCGCUUGCAUCAAGUGCUCUAGUCUUUAUAACGCUAGAGUAGUAAUUAAUAGAUUAGACGUGGUGUUUAGUCUUGCAAUUACCUGGAAUUGCACCCAAUCCUGCGGAUUGUUGUGGUAGCCUUAGGGUAGUGACAGCCCUAACGGUCGAUGUAUUCCACCACGUUCGGAUCGGUGUUUGUAGGACCGUAGUCAGACCUUCCUAGCCCCCUUCUCAUCUCUUUCUGUGGUUAGUGCUCUGAUGUCCCGAUAUAGAUAAUCUUAAAGUAAUUCUUGAUUCUUAGAUCAACUAGAGAACUCUCAGGAAACUUCCUCUCUUCCCACCAAAAAUAAUCAUAUUAGUUAUCCUUGGGCGAUCUUGGAUCUUAGUUAGUACACUCACGUUCCCUGUGGAAAAUCGAUACUCUGGAAUACUCCCGGGUGAAGGCUACAUCGGUAUCCGUGCGCUUGCGGAUUUUUCUGUUUGCGUUUAAAAUACCCAACAGUCACCUUGCUGAGUUUUGCUUUAGGAGGACGAGAGAUGAGUGGCGACAUUACGAGUUAAACAACCAGAACAUGUACCGCCCACCCCAUGGCGUACAUGUGCCGCCUGUUCAUAGGCGCAGUGCUAGCCCAGAGGUGCAAUGCCUCAAGGUGCUAGGCCUCAGGUUGUGAGACCACACGGUGGUCGUGCCCGACGUGGUUCAGGUCAUGAUCAAUAUGACAUUGAACCUCGUGGCGGUGGCUUUGCUUCUCAGUCCCACAGCUCUAGCGGACCACGUUUCCCUUUCAUGGUGACCGCUUUCCUCAAAUGGGACAUGGCAUGCUUGGUGUUUUUCCUUACACUUUUCUAGGGAAAAUGACCCAACACUGGUAUCCUUCACAGUUUACUAACCCCAGUGUUGCGCCAUUUGCUCACCCCAUGUCUUUCUAUUGAUGCAGAUCGGAAGCUUGGAGAACAUGUGGCUUGUUGAUUCCGGUUGUUCGCGCCACAUGACUGGAAGUUUAAAAUGGUUCUCCAGCCUCGACCCCGUGCAAUGUAAGGAGUACAUCACAUUCGUGGAUAAUAGCAAAGGUAAAGUGCUUUCUCGUGGGACCAUUCGGGUCAAUGAGAAUUUUGUCUUGAAGGAUGUUGCUUUGGUUUCAAAUUUGCAUUUCAACUUGCUUUCAGUUUCGCAACUCCUUCAGGAUGGUUUUGAGAUGCGCUUUAAGACUAGUUUGUCUCGAGUUCUUGAUUCUCAGGGAAAUCUUGUUUGUCAGAUUGUCCCUUUUGGUCGUGUCUUUCGAGCUGAUUUUUCUCACGCUUUUGGCUCUUCUCGUUGUCUUGUGGCUGGAUCCUCCUCUGAUCUUUGGAAGUGGCAUAGGAGACUUGGUCAUUUGAGCUUUGACUUACUAGCUAGGUUGAGCUCACCUGACUUAAUCCGAGGAUUGCCCAAGUUGAAAUUCUAGAAGGAUUUGGUUUGUCAUCCUUGUCGUCACGGGAAGAUGGUUGCCGCUUCUCACCCUCCUGUGACUUAGGUCAUGACCAAGGGACCCGGUGAGCUACUUCAUAUGGACACAGUUGGUCCGGCUCGGGUUCGGUCAGAGGGAGGGAAGUGGUAUGUUCUAGUGAUCGUGGACGAUUUUUCUCACUACUCUUGGGUGUUUUUCAUGGAGGGUAAGGAUGAGGCUUUUUCUCAUGUUCGAGAUUUGAUUCUUCGGUUACAAACUGAGUUGCCUAAGAAUGUCAUGAGAGCUAUAUGCAGUGACAAUGGCAUAGAAUUCAAAAACACUCAGUUUGAUACCUUUUGUGCUUCUUUAGGUCUCGAGCACCAGUUUUCCUCUCCUUAUGUUCCCCAGCAAAAUGGUGUUGUUGAGCGCAAAAAUCGGACCCUUGUUGAGAUGGCCAGCACGAUGCUCGAUGAGCAUAGGACUCCAAGGAGAUAUUGGGCCGAGGCGAUCAACACCGCUUGUCAUGUCUCCAAUCGCAUUUUUCUUCGAGCCUUCUUGAAAAAGAUUCUUAUGAGUUGUGACUUGGUAGACUACACAAGGUAAGUCACUUCAGGGUGUUUGGUUGCAAGUGUUUCAUCUUGAAGCAAGGUAAUUUGGACAAAUUUGAGUCCAGGUCCUCUGAUGGUAUUUUUCUUGGUUAUGCUUCUCAUUCUCAUGCAUAUCGUGUACUUAACCUUAAAACUAACCGAGUUGUGGAGACCUGUGAGGUCACAUUCGAUGAGACUAUGCCUUGUUCUUCUCCUGUCUUUGAAUGUGCAGGUGAUCAGGAGAUUGGUGAAACUAUGUUUGUUGAGGAUGAUGUAGAAGAUGCCGAUUGGGGUGAUCCUGAGCCAACACCACUGGCUGCCCCUCUCGAGUCUUCGACAACUACGUCGCCUGAUGGCCCCGAUCCUUCUUCUUCCACUACUUGGGGUCCGAUCGUGCAGCCUCCUCAACCUACACUGGCUGUUCCUGAGGAGGCCCCAGCUGUAGUUGAGGGGGAGGCGACUUCUUCAAGGGAAGCACCUCGACACAUUCAGCGUCGCCAUCCACCUCAGACCAUGAUUGGUGAAAUUGACCAGCGAGCCACACGGUCCAGGUCAUAUCACAUCUCACACUUCGCUCACUCUGCUUUUGUUGCUUCUUUUGAGCCUCGAGAUGUUGGACACACACUAUCUAAUCCUGAUUGGGUUAAUGCUAUGCAUGAGGAGUUAGAAAAUUUUGAGAGAAACAAUGUUUGGGUUUUAGUACCACUUCCACCAUAUUGCCAUCCCAUAGGUACCAAGUGGGUUUUCAAAAACAAAUAGAGUGAAGAUGGGGUGGUAGUGUGGAACAAGGCUAGGUUGGUAGCUCAAGGUUUUUGUCAGAAAGAGGGGAUAGACUAUGAGGAAACCUUUGCUCCUGUUGCCCGUCUAGAAGCCAUUAGGAUCCUUUUAGCUUUUGUAGCUUCAAAAGGGUUCAAGCUGUAUCAGAUGGAUGAGAAGAGUGCUUUCUUGAAUGGGUGUAUAGAGGUGUAUGUGAUACAACCCCCUGGCUUUGAAAAUCCUAAGAUUCCUAACCAUGUUUUUAAACUCCACAAAGCCUUGUAUGGUCUAAAACAAGCCCCGAGAGCCUGGUAUGAGCAUUUGAAAGCCUUCUUGCUUGGAAAGGGGUUUAAAAUGGGUUUUAUUGAUAAAACGUUGUUUCUCCUCAAGCAAGGCACUGACACUCUUUUGGUUCAGAUAUACGUGGAUGAUAUCAUUUUCGGUGGCUCUUCUCACGUACUUGUUGGCAAGUUUGCAGAAACUAUGAGCAGAGAAUUUGAGAUGAGCAUGAUGGGCGAGUUGACGUUCUUUCUUGGUUUGCAAAUCAAGCAAACUAGAGAAGGGACGUUUGUGCACCAAGGCAAGUACACCAAGGACGUACUCAAGAAAUUCGAUAUGGGCGAGGCCAAGCCUCUCUCGACGCCCAUGUCGACCACGACGGCCCUGGAUGCAGAUGAAGAAGGAGAAGCUGUGGACCAGAAGGAGUACCAAGCAUGAUCGGGUUGCUUCUGUACCUGACGGCGACAAGACCAGACAUCCAGUUCGCGGUCUGCUUGUGUGCGCGCUUUCAGUCUUCAUCGCGCACAUCUCAUCGUCAAGCUGUCAAGCGGAUCUCGAGGUACCUUCGUUUCACACCUGAGCUUGGUCUUUGGUUUUCAGCUUCCUCCUCUCUUUCUCUUUGCGGCUAUUCUGAUGUGGAUUAUGUCGGCUGCCGUGUUGAGCGCAAGUCCACGUCGGGAACUUGCCAAUUUCUUGGGACUUCUCUUGUGUCUUGGUCCUCUCGCAAGAAAUCCUCAGUUGCUCAAUCCACCAUAGAAGCUGAGUAUGUUGCUGCUGCUGCUUGCUGCUCCUAGUUGGUUUGGAUGAUAGCCACUCUGAGAGACUUUUGGUUAGAGUUUAGGCGAGUGCCUUUGCUUUGUGAUAGCACCAGUGCCAUAAGCGUUGCUAAAAACCCAGUUCUCCACUCAAAAACCAAGCAUAUAGUUGUCCGCUUUCAUUUCCUGCGUGACCACUAUGAGAAAGGAGAUAUUGAUCUACACCAUGUUGAUACCCAAAAUCAGCUUGCAGACAUCUUUACCAAACCCCUUGACCAAGCCCAGUUUGCUCGCUUGCGAGGGGAGCUUGGAGUUUGUUUCCCUUUUUAGUUGAGGGGUACUUUGGUCUUUGUACUCUAGUUUUGUUUUCUUUUAGUUUAGCUUUUAUUUUAUCUUUUGUAUCAUAUUGCAUUGCAUUUCAUCUCAUCAUGUAUAUUAGAGCAUUUUGAGCUUCAUGAUUAUAGUUGUUAGAUUGAGAUUAUGCUCUUUGUGAUAUGUCUUGUAUGUACAUUGUUGACGGUCCUUAAGUAUCAAAUUUAAUUAACAAAUAAACAAAGAAAAGGAUCCAAAUGAAAUCAACAUCUAGACUUAGGGUUUUAUCUGACAGAAUUCUACGAGUUUUGGUGUUUGUCUAUUUCUGCAGGGUGUUAUCAGGAAAUACGGAAGAAAGGCCCACACGUCGGGAUUACAUAGAGAUAUCAAAGUGCCGCGCAAUUACCUAACAUCUAGAAGACUCUAGAAGCCACGAGAACGAAGUGGAGGCCGAACGGAGCCUGGCCCUAGGCGCCCGCCCAGGAGACCAGGGCGCCCACCCCCUUACAGAGUCUAAUCAGAACUCACUUUCAGGAUUACGCUCCACCGACCUAAAGGAUCAAGGAUAACCGUUCAAUCAAUGUCGGUUUGAUCCAACGACCCAUAUUCACUUGAAGGGACUAUAAAACCAGACCCCCUGGCCCCUAGAGAAGAGAGCCUCUCAACCCUAAUUCAUUAUUCCUCAAGGGAGAAGAAGCCUCUGAUCAAGCCUAGAGCCACCACAUCAAUUAGACAUCUAGAUUAGCAUAGCUACAUAGGAUUAGAACUAGAAGGAGUCAAUCUUCGAUUGGUUUCCGGAUCUGUCAAUAGGAUUCUUGGUAAUUCUCUAAUUGUUCUUAUAUUGUUCAUCUUUGUUCUUCAAUAUUAUGAAUAUGACUUUGUUCUACUUCAAUAUAUUGCUUAUGACUUUGCUCUACUUGUUUAUAUUCAAGAUUAUAUUGUUCUUAGUUUAUCAUAGUUAUGUACUUGGCUUAGUUAGAUUGGAUCUAUAUACAUGUUUAGGAUCGUAUAACGUUUAUCCAUCAGAUCCAUGGGUAAAUGAUGGAUAUUGUGUAGGCGUGGUGCUUAUACUGUAUUUAUCUACGAUUGUACCCAAAAUGCUAGAUCGUGGGGUAGUUCGUGAUAGUGACAACUUCAUUGAUUCUUAUAAAGUCCCCCUCUCGUGUAUUGGGCUGGCAGAGCAAUAUUAUUACAUGGGAGUGAUUGCUAUGUUUCUAAUUUUCCUUGCUAAUAUCACUAUGCUUGGGCGUAGUCUUUUCUCGCAAUGAUUGCUAAGUAUGCUUGCACUAACUAUGAUAAUGCUAGACUGUAUAGUUGAGAAUAACAUAGGAAAUAUUCUUGUAGUUCGUUCUAAUACCAUGCUAAUGACUUGCUAGAAUAUCUAAUUGAGGUGCUUAUCAUAUUUAUAUGUGGCUAAGUUAUGUUGAUUAGAUUAAUUAUCUUUGUCACUAUUCAUUACUUCAUAUAUCCUUUAUGUGACACUUAUCCCUGUAUGAAAGAGUUAGAUAAAUGUUCUCAAUUAUACAUGCAAUGAUAGAUACUCAAUCUUAUAUUCCAUUCUAUAAUCAACAUUGAUGGUUACUAAUCCCUUCCCAGUGGUAAAAAUAUAAAUAACGAUACCCGGUUAAAAUGCUACAUCGGUAUUAAUCUGUGCGCUUGCAGAUCCCAUUCAUUAUUUAUUUAGAUGAGCAAUUGCAUAUUUCAAUACCGCGUCUCUCAUGUCAUGCUAGGGAUGACAACUUGGCUUAAGUGGUAUGAGAGAUAGGUUUGGCAUUUUUGGCACCGUUACCAAAAUUAGAAACUGUCUACUUUUGGUAGUGAUAUUAAGAAUACCCAACAUACAUGAUGGUGCUUGUCACUUAGGCUCUUUUUGAUCACUUGAUGCAUGUUAUGAGCUAAGUUUGUUUUACAACUUGUGAACUUGACAUAAACCUAUUGAAACCUAAAAAUUGUUCACCAUUGUGAUUGGCAACUAGCAUGUGUAGGAUGUGUUGAGAUCACUUGAGCUAUCAUUUAUAUGCUAGGUUGCUAUGUCUCAUGCUUUGAGUUAUACACUUGCUUGGACAACUUGCAAAUUCUUGUGCUAAAAAUUGAAAAUCAAGCUAAGUGAAAAGAAAAGAUCGAGAUGGGUCUAUACUAUCCUACGUUAAGGUAUCAAGACUGCUUCCAAUUGCACUUAUGGAUGAACUUGAGCCUUGUAGUGGAUGCUGAGAUCAUUGUCUUAAGCUUGUGAUUGUCUCUGACAUAGGCUUGGCAUGGUCGAUAAGUUGGUUUGACGGUACAGAUAACCUCUCGCACUCACACAUGUUUUUGACUAAACCUUGUGAUAUGCUACAAACUCUGAUAAAAUGAAAAUUUGAGGAAAACACAAGUCUAAAGUUAGUCUUUGACAUGAUGUAUGAACACUACUUGGGGUAGUUCACCUUGUAUACACUUGAUUAGCACUAGGUUGAUUUCCUGCUUAUACCUUCUAUGUGCUACUUUCAGUGGUGAACUCCUUCUUACAAUUGCUUAAAAUUGUUUAAAAAUGCUUAAAUGCUAUAUUUCAUUUCACUUGAUCAGUCUGAGCAUUUGCUAGCACUUGUACUUCUUGCUAUACACACAUGACAGCACCACCUAGAGCAUCUUUUCAAUAUGAUUGCUAUACUCCUGAAGCUUCUACAUUUGUGCAAUUCUUGCAUUCAUAGCAUGAUUUGAGGGGGAUUUGCAAUCCUUUGGGCAAAUAUUGAUAAGUGCAUGUGUCAACAAGGGGGAGAAAGUUACACACAAAAAGAGAGACAUGCAUUCAUUUGAGAGAUAUUGCAUUUGCUUAGGGGGAGUUGCAUUUAAGUUGCUUGUGCUAGAUGUGUUGAACCUUUGCCUCUUCUAGAGGGUCUAGUUUUUUUUCUGGCUUUUUGAGCUUUGCUAGUGGUGUUGAGCCCGUUGUCUCUUCUUGAGAGCUAGCUUUGUGGUUCUUGAUCGUGUCGAGCCUUUGCCCAUGUCUUUGGGGAUCAAGCUUUGUUUAUUUGAAAUGACCCGUUUUUGGCUUCUCUUUGGCUUUUGGUCAUUUCGAUGAACUCUUUGCUCUUCUCUUGUUUUUCUUUUCUUAUGCUCAAGCUGUUCGUGUGAGUGUGUUGACAAUGCACUCAUCAAGGGGGAGAUUGCAAACACAAGGUCGAGAAGUACCCUUGUGUUUCAUUUUGUGAUGAGUGAUGGUAAACGUGAUCCACGAAUAGGUUGAUAUGGUGACUAACAUUACCAUGGUGAAAGCUAUGUGUGCGAUAUGUCUCUUGCCUUAUGGUGUUCAGAUGUGGAGCUCAGAGGCCGUGGUCGAUGGCGAGGAGAAGGUCAAGUAGAGACGUGCCAUGCCGAUGGACCUGGAGCGGUGAAGGACGGACGUGAGGGUUGGACUGACGGACCAGGAGGCCGGAUGACCAGCUGUAGUGGCUGACAUCCGGGACAUCGACAAGUGCAAGUGUACAUGGGAGUGACCAUGUUGACCAAGUCAAGACGGCGGACGCAAGUCGAGCGAGGCUCAGAAGGACUUGGCGGGCCGGCCGUCGAGGACGGCGGUGACAUGUGUCGAGCAGCAGGGGAAGCGUAUGGAGUACGCUACUCGCGGCGGGUUUCGCGGGUUUGAGCCUCAAAACCCGGGCGGAGGUUCUAAGGCGGAACAGACGACACAUGGCGGCAUCGGUGAGAUCACUUCAGAGCGAGGCUACCGGUGAGGAGGCGCAGUGGCCGUCGGAUUUAGCUCAUGUCGAGUUGGACUAGAAUGCCUCUGGGGCUAGCUAGUUCAAUCAAAAAUAGCUAGGGGCAUUUGAGGACAGUGUAAUAUGCCCGAUAAAUAAGGAGAGGGAGCCCCUCAUCUCCCUCACCUCUCCUAUCUUCAUUUCUGAGUCAUCUCUUUAGGGUAUCCUUCUUUAGAGUUCCUGUGCAAGGGAGGUCAACAAUUUUUGUUUUGUAUCUGUGUAUGUUAGCCAAAUUGUUGCAAACACACAUGUAAUUUUUCGUUUCAGUUAGUAUCAAUCAGGUUAGGGGCAGGUCAUAAGCAUGCAUGACUGGGACACAGCCCGAGUCCGUCGAGUCGGUCCUCGCCAUGUCGUGCGCGGCGCAUGUGGCACACACCAUCAAACAGUGCGGCGCAUCUGCAAGGCGUGGCGGGGAGGGAGUCUGUAUCAAACAGAGUAUAAAUACAAUAGAGGCCGAGGGGGGCUGCGGGUUGGCAGCACCGAAAAUAAUCUAUCUUUCUCGCGUGAAUCUGUUGUGCGUGUUUCCAUCUUAACAUGCUCUCGCCGCGGUCACCGAGCCGACCCGCCAGCGCGACGAUCUUGCUCAACAGCCAAGCUCCGUUCCAACAAUUGGCAUCAGAGCCGUAGGGCGCUGGAGAGGAGGUGGUAAGAGGUAGUAGAGGAAGCUGAGUCAAUGAGAUCAUCAAAUCAGAGAAAGAGGAGGCAUGAACCCGAAUCUCGCCGAGAUGUCGUCACCACCACACACAGGCAUAUCGGGAGAAAAGGAGGUCAUGGAGCGUGUUUUCAACCAGGCGGCGGCGAACCUUGUUGACGGUCCUUAAGUAUCAAAUUUAAUUAUCAAAUAAACAAAGAAAAGGAUCCAAAUGAAAUCAACAUCUAGACUUAGGGUUUUAUCUGACAGAAUUCCACGAGUUUUGGUGUUUGUCUAUUUCUGCAGGGGGUUAUCAGAGAAUACGGAAGAAAGGCCCACACGUCGGGAUUACAUAGAGAUAUUAACGUACCGCGCAAUUAUCUUACAUCUAGAAGACUCCAGAAGACACGGGAAGGAAGCGGAGGCCGAACGGGGCUAGGACCCGGGCGCCCGCCCUCCUGCUGAGUCCAAUCAGGACUCUGUUUCGGGGAAGAUCUCCACCGACCUAAAGGAUCAAGGAUAACCGUUCAAUCAAUGUCGGUUUGAUCCAACGGCCCAUAUUCACUUGAAGGGACUAUAAAAGCAGACCCCCUGGCCCCUAGAGGAGAGAGCCUCUCAACCCUAAUUCAUUAUUCCUCAAGGGAGAAGAAGCCUCUGAUCAAGCCUAGAGCCACCACAUCAAUUAGACAUCUAGAUUAGCAUAGCUACAUAGGAUUAGAACUAGAAGGAGUCAAUCUUCAAUUGGUUUCCAGAUCUAUCAAGAGGAUUCUUGGUAAUUCUCUAAUUGUUCUUAUAAUUGUUCAUCUUUGUUCUUCAAUAUUAUGAAUAUGACUUUGUUCUACUUCAAUAUAUUGCUUACGACUUUGCUCUACUUGUUUAUAUUCAAGAUUAUAUUGUUUUUAGUUUAUCAUAGUUAUGUACUUAGCUUAGUUAGAUUUGAUCUAUAUACAUGUUUAGGAUCGUAUAUCGUUUAACCAUCGGAUCCAUGGAUAAAUGACAGAUAUUGUGUAGGCGUGGUGCUUAUACCGUAUUUAUCUGCGAUUGUACCCAAUAUGCGAGAUCGUGGGGUAGUUCGUGAUAGUGACAGCUUCAUUGAUUCUUAUAUAGUCCCUCUCUCGUGCAUUGGGCUGGCAGAGCAACAUUAUUACAGGGGAGUGAUUGCUAUGUCUCUUAUUUACCUUGCUAAUAUCACUAUGCAUGGGCGUUGUCUUGUCUCGCAAUGAGUGCUAAGUAUGCUUGCACUAACUAUGAUAAUGCUAGACUAUAUAUUUGAGAAUAACUUAGGAAAUAUUCUUGUAGUUCGUUCUAAUUCCAUGCUAAUGACUUUCUAGAGUAUCUAAUUGAGGUGCUUAUCAUAUUUAUUAUGUGGCUAAGUUAUGCUGAUCAGAUUAAUUAUCUUUGUCACUAUUCAUUACUUCAUAUAUCUUUUAUGUGACACUUACCCCUGUAUGAAAGAGUUAGAUAAAUGUUCUCAAUUAUAUAUGCAAUGAUAGAUACUCAAUCUCAUAUCAAUGAUUGUUAAUCCCUUCCCAAUGGUAAAAAUAUAAAUAACGAUACCUGGAAUACUUCCCGGUUAAAAUGCUACAUCGGUAUUAAUCUGUGCGCUUGUAGAUCCCAUUCAUUAUUUAUUUAGAAGAGCAAUUGCAUAUUUCAAUACCGCGUCUCUCAUGUCAUGCUAGGGAUGACAACUUGGCUUAAGUGGUAUGAGGGAUAGGUUUGGCAUUUUUGGCACCGUUUCUAGAAUUAGAAACUGUCUACUUUUGGUAAUGAUGUUAAGAAUACCCAACAAGCAUUUUUGGCGCCGUUGCCGGGAAGGUUGAUUACUAAUCAAGAAUGGAUAUAGAUUUUUGAGUUAUCAUUCGCAUCACUAAUAUGAUUGAGCUUAUCUAUUCUCUCAUACAGUUUUACCCUGAUAUUUUCUAUUUUUAUCUUAUGCAGAGGAAUGUAUGAAUAGAAGACAUCUUCCAGGAAAUUUUGUUGACAAUCCCGAAGCCUUAUUCAAGAAGACAAGAGCUAAGCUCAAGAAGAGAUCAUCAACACUUCAGCAAGAAGCUUCAUCCAAUCAAGAAGAUCACUGGAACUUGUCUUCAGAGUUCGAAGCCAUGGUGAACAAAUCAAUCCGCGAGUUCUCAGCUCCCACUACGGACAACAUCCGCACUGGACCUGCUGCAGAGAUCGAUGCCAACUUUAAGCUCAAGCCUGGACUUAUCAACAUGGUGCAAUCCAACCAGUUCUGUGGGAAGGCACACGAAGAUGCUAGUGCUCAUCUCCAACACUUCCUGGAGAUUUGCAACACAUUUACCAUAUCAGGAGUCCCCAGAGAUGCUAUACUACUUCGCCUCUUCCCAUUCUCACUGUUAGGGUGUUGACGGUCCUUAAUGCUCAUAUUUAAUCAUCAAUUAAUCAUAGAAAAGGAUCCAAAUGCAACCAACACCUAGACUUAGGGUUUUAUCUGACAGAAUUCCACAAGUUUUGGUGUUUGUCUAUUUCUGCAGGGGGUUAUCAGGAAAUAUGGAAGAAAGGCCCACACGUCGGGUUUACAUAGAGAUAUUAACGUGCCACGCAAUUUUCUAUCAUCUAGAAGACUCCAGAAGCCACGGGACCGAAGCGGAAGCCGAGAGGCCUCAGGGACAGGGCGCCCGCCCUAGUCCUGAGGGCGCCCGCCCACCUCUUUCCACCAAUCAGGGUGAAGUUCGAGGAUCAUGCUCCACCGACCUAAUAGUUCAAGGAAAACCACACGAUCAAUGUCGGUUUGAUCCGACGGCCCAGAUUCACUUGAAGGGACUAUAAAACCAGACCCCCCUGGCCCCUGGAGAUCAUACCUCUUCUACAGAAUCAAAGCUAGGGUUUCAAUUCUUCAUCCAAGUAGAGAGGAUCCCUCUAGUUCUUCUAGUUCUACUUCUAGUUCAUCUAGAUCUAGUUCUAGUUCAUCUAGUUCUAGUUCUAGUUCUUCUAGUUCUAGUUCUAGUUAGUUCUAGUUGUAAUCUAGAAAAUAGGGAGAGAGAAGAGGAGAGCGGAGGAGGAGCCGGAUCUGUCGGAUCUUCCUCAACAUUGUACUUUUGCAGUAUCUGGUUCAUUCUUCAUCGUUCUCCAGGUUCUUCAAUUCAUAAUUCCUGAGUUCUUUAAUUACUUUUAUUUACAUUCAAGUUAUUUAUUGGAUUCCCGCUUGCAUCAAGUGCUCUAGUCUUUAUAACGCUAGAGUUGUAAUUAAUAGAUUAGACGUGGUGUUUAGUCUUGCGAUUACCUGGAAUUGCACCCAAUCCUACGGAUUGUUGUGGUAGCCCUAGGGUAGUGACAGCCCUAACGGUCGACGUAUUCCACCACGUUCGGAUUGGUGUUUGUAGGACCGUAGUCAGACCUUCCUAGCCCCCUUCUCAUCUCUUUCUGUGGUUAGUGCUCUGAUGUCCCGAUAUAGAUAAUCUUGAAGUAAUUCUUGAUUCUUAGAUCAACUAGAGAACUCUCAGGAAACUUCCUCUCUUCCCACCAAAAACAAUUAUAUAGUUAUCCUUGGGCGAUCUUGGAUCUUAAUUAGUACACUCACGUUCUCUAUGGAAAAUCGAUACUCUGGAAUACUCCCGGGUGAAAGCUACAUCGGUAUCCGUGCGCUUGCGGAUUUUUCUGUUUGCAUUUAAAAUAUCCAACAAGCUUUCUGGCGCCGUUGCCGGGGAACGGUAGCUGUGCUAGUUUCGAAUCAAGUCGCCCGUAUAUCCUUUUUCUUUUCCUUUUUUUACCACACUCACCUUAUCAUUUUCACCGUACCAUAUGGAUUUCACUCUAAGCAUUAAUAAGCAUGGAAUUUAUUUCAUAGCCACUUCAUUUACUACAUGCUCAUAUGCAACAUCUUCACAAUCCAUUGGUCUCUCCAACAUCACCACAUUCGAGAUCUGCAACCCCCUCUUCCUUUCUAUUUAUAAAAACUUUAAAAGGGAGGUUGUCGAUGCAUAUGUUUAUAAUAAAUUUUGCAGAUCUCGUUGAGUUAAUCUUGAUAUAGGUCAGCGUUGGAGGGGAAACCACUUCACUGACAUAAAUUGAUGGUUUCCCAAGGACAAGCUUAGUGUCCUAAAACAAGCACUGAUCAGAUUGUAACAUGAGCUUUUAAUUAUUUGCAACAUUAACUUGUGUAUUGAGCAUAUAAGGAUAAUUGUAAAAAAAUUCCUUCGGGUAUUCUUGUCACUAACCUUUCCAGGAUUGGAGCAAGAAGAUCGGAUGAAUGACAAGCACAAGGUAUGUACAACCAAUCAUCAUACAACAUUGAAUUAAAUUCAUCCAAACUUGAAUUUUGCAAAAUUCAAGCUUGGGGGAGUACUUUACAUAAAAACAUCCUUUGCCAUGUUGCUAUAUUGGUUAACCCUACCAUUGAGACAUGCUCAAUUUGCUAAAUACUAAUCACACUACUUCAUCUCCACUUGAGUAGAUCUCUAUAAAUGCUCUCAUGCUACCUUUAUUUGCUUUAGUAUAUGUCUAGGCUUGGAGUAGUUUCAUUUAUCUCUUAAUUAAGCAUGGUGCUUAGUUUAGGAAUGAUGAUCUUACUUCCAAGGGAUUUUAAAUUAAGCAUGAUGCUUAGGUUAAAAUGCCCCCCUAAAUCAAAUUAGACAUGGUGUCUAGGUUGAUCUUUGAGCCGAUAGUAUGCUAUAGUGGAUAUUGGAUAUUUUGUUGGACUAACCCCUGCAGGAAAACUUUCACUAUCGACCUGGUAAGUCCUAAGAUAAACUCACAUUGGAGACAAAGAGAGAGACACAUGAAGUUUAACAAUUUACACAAGGAAGGCAUAGCUCACAAGAGAUGAUCCAUGGAGGGUGCCACAAACACGAUGCACAACCGCUAAGAAAGGAAAGCUUCCACAAGGUGAUACUGUACCAUCACUCUUCAAGUAAGGUAACAUCUUAAAGUACUUGUCUAUCACUUUUAUAAGUUUCUCCUUGGUUCUAGCGUUCACAUGAAUAAAAGAGACAAACAUGUAUGAUUUACAACUCUAGAUUAACCAACCCAAUCGUUUCAACAUGUUUAGUCCUUCCACCUUUGUGAUCCCACACUCCUAAUCAUAUGAACUAAAAUGUUGCACACUUAAUCUUUGGAAAAUGAUAGUCAUGUAAAGAAAAAAUAUUUACUUAGAUAGACAUAGGGUUGAGUGAUCUAAUCUGACAAAUGUUUUAAAUGUUACACUCAUGGUCUUAUUAUCCAUCAACUUUGUCUUUCUCACUAUGCUUAAGGUUAGAGAGAACAAAUACACUUUUGGUUCUGUUGGUGUUUUCCACCAACAGGGCCCAUGCACUUGAUCUCUGCCUUGUCUCUAUGAGCAGGUACACUUUGAGCAAAAUAUGAAGGACUUUUACAACUCCCAGACUCCACGAAGUCAAGAACCUAGAUCUACGAGCACAAACACACUGGAGAUACUGGACACUCAGGCAAUCACUGCCCUGAGAUGCUUGAGGACGUAACUACUGGAGUAACCCCGUUGUGGAAGUAAUUACUAACCUUCUGUCGGUCAAGAGAGGCGAUCCAGGACGCCCCAUCAUCCCGAUCUCCAUCGGCAUGGUGGACUUCCCAGAAGCACUCUGCGACUUUGGCUCCAGCGUCAACAUUAUGCCCAGGGGAAUAUUGAAGAACCUCUACGUCCGAGUUGGUACCUUGUAUGUCCCAGCAGACUUCGUAGUGAUAGAGACCGGUAAUGAUGCGAGGGCACCCAUCAUUCUAGGGAGGCCAUUCCUGAACACCUCGGGAGCUGUCAUCUACGCUAGUGCUGCCAGAUAAGUUUUUACACUCAAGGGAAGAAAGGAGACGUUUUCCUUCAAGAACAAGACUACACAAAUCUCAGAGCAUUCCCGACAUGAACCAAGGAAGAGGACCAACAGGAGGGACAGGAACAAGCAAAUGUGGACCAAGUCAGCUAAGAUGGUCACUGCAGUUCAAGGAGGUCAAGAUUGUUGAUUUAAGUCACCAUUCCUGACCAAAAAGGACGACCCAAGUAUGCCAAGCAUCCAGUGCUCCAUUAAUGGAUACAACUUCCAGAAGAAGCUUUGCGACACCGGGUCAGGCGUCAACAUAAUGGCCGCAGUCACCUAUCAACUCUUGUUUGGAACCAUGCCCCUAAAACCGAUAUACAUUCAGCUCCAGAUGGCAGAUCAGACAUUCCGAAAGGUUAUUGACAUGGGAGAAGACGAGUACAAUCCACCCAUCACCCUUGGAAGACCGUUCCUCAGCACCAUUAAAGCAAUCAUCUACAUUGGAACCGGAGAAGUCCACAUGUACUUUCCCCUCAGAGAAGGUACGCCACUGUUUUACUGACCCUAACUAUAUAGUUGAAGACUCUAAGCAGGUCAGGACAAGAAGACGAUGAUGCAGCCGCAACCAGAGGAGGCAAAUCAUCAAGGACGGAUGGGUAGACUAUGAAGGAGAAGUUGUAAGGUCUGAAGACAUAAAGCUUGAACAGAACUGUCCUGAGGAGACCGUAGCACCGAGUCAGGUGUGGAGAGAGAAGAUAGUUAUACACGAAGACCAGGCACCGCCGGAACCACCGACUACGCCAUCCAGCGAAUCCCAGGACGACUGAGAAAAUGGAGAGUCCCGUUCGGAGGACUUAAAAACACCGAACGCCUUGCCAAGAGGUAAACUUGGUAGUUAUCUUUUUCCUUUCAAUUAUUUAAAAUAGUUUGCUUAGUUAAUCAGGUUCAUAUCAUCUUGAAAAGAAAAUAAAAAUAUUGAAGAUAGUAAGCCCCAUGUGAGUAUGCUCAUGGCAUAAAACCCAUAAGUACAUUCACUGUGGUGGCAUAAAAAUAAAAUAAAUAUAUUCAUGUUCUAUAAAAAUGAAAAUAUAAAAAUAAAUUUAUGAUCCUACUAAAGAGAGUAACAUUUAUUGAGGAGGCUCAACAUGAUAAAGGCUAGAUAUUUAUGCUAACACUUAACCAGUUCCACAAAGCUUUGUUGUCUAUUUGAGUUCCACAAAAUUCAAGGAUCAAAGAAAACUAGCCGAUGGAGGACAUCCUAAUCACUGUCAGGAUGCUGCUGACAUUCAAAUACAUCUCCACCACCUGCUAGCUACAUCAGAAGAAAUUGCGUCAAAAUCCAGCUUGGGGGAGAGCACCCCCAUUUAUCGAGCUAAGUAUUCUACUCACGUUUAUACUUUACUCUAAUAAUAAAAAGAUGCAUAAUCAUAGAAACCAAAAUAAAGAUUUUGUGCUUAUAUAUAUCUUUACUUAUCUUGCUAAAUAAAUAAAUAAAUAAAGUUUGCUAUCAACCCUCAUGAUAAGCUCUCACAUGGAAAUAAUGAAUAGUUGCUUUGCCAUGACUAGUUCUUAAAACUGAAAUCUCUCUCAAGUUUAGGCUUGACUGUUAUGAAUUAAGAUUUGCUCUAAACCUGAACUUGUGGGGAGAAUAUUUGAUCUAAAGUCUAAGUCGUUAACGGAUACGAUAUGGGAAGGUUGAGCUGCUGUUUAUCUGUUCCUAGAGAUGCUAGAAUUCUGGAGAAUUUUAUCUUUGAAAAUCUUUAAAAUGUUGCUUGAUGAGUUCCUGUAUGAUGAGAGUUUAAAUUCCUACCACAGCCAUAUAUACAUGCUUGCUAGACUAUGAGCCACACAUUUACUUUUUACUGCUUAUGAGCAUUGAGUGUGGUCAAGCUGUGUAGACCCUUAGGAGCUUGUCAUGUGGUUAAGUCAAGAUUCACUUGCACGUUCACUCAUACAUGCUACUUCUACUCUGGAAGUACCAUCCACAUAUACCCAUUUCCAUCUCCAGAACCACCCAAAAAUAUUCUACUCCUAAUCCGGGAGAGAAUAGCCAAAAAUAUUUCUAUUUUUUCUCUGUGAAAUAAAUGCUCAAGUUAUCUUGUUACUACCACUUGCUAUAUUAUCUCAUGAGAUGAGUGCUCUAAAGAAAAAAAAGAGAAAAAAAAAGAAUACGAGGAAAUAAAAAGGGGCAAGUGCCCGGAACCUCGAAAGAAAGAAAAAGUGAAACGAGAGGUAAAAAUGGACAAGUGUCCGACAGUAGAAUUAGGGGUACAAGAUACCCACCUGAGAGAAAAGAAAAAAGAAAAUAUAGAGCAUCUCAUUCUCCUCAAAAAGUUUCAAAAGAGCAAGAAAGGUAUGUAUCCCCUCAAAAGAGCAAAAGUAGAAUUAGACUUUCACCAUUAUCACCAUCAUCACCAUACACCAUUCAUUCACCACACAUGCACAUCUUGAUUUGACUUAUUGACUUGUUCUUCUGGAUCCAUGGUUUGACUAUGCAAUAAAUGUCUUGUAAUUAUGUAUUAGCUGUCUCCCACCUAUGAGCUCCAGAUAUCAAAACCUUAUUAGAGUAGGGUGAGAGAGAAGGCAAUGUCACUAUGCCUCAUACCAAAAAUACCACAUACUUUGAGAGAAGGCAUACACCAUUACUGCCUUGGUAAGAAUCCAAAAAUACCACAAAAGAGAGACUAGAGAGAGUCAUACAAGGAAUCUCUGAGUUUUAUUUGAAAAUCUGCAAAAAACUCCAGAGCUAUAGUUAAUCAAAGAACAAGAGACAUGGCGCUUGACUAGACUGUUCUAUCUUUUAACUACUCAAGACACAAGUGACGGUUACAAGUCCCAUGGUGAAAGGUAAAUGAGUAAGUUUUAAGUCUUAACAGUUUACUCUAACCAGAGAUGAGAUCUUGUUUAAACGCAUGUGUAUCUUUAAGGCAUGAAACCACUGUAGAAACUCUUGAGUCCAUCUUUGCUCAGGGACGAGCAAAGGUUAAGCUUGGGGGAGCUUGUUGACGGUCCUUAAUGCUCAUAUUUAACCAUCAAUUAAUCAUAGAAAAGGAUCCAAAUGCAACCAACACCUAGACUUAGGGUUUUAUCUGACAGAAUUCCACAAGUUUUGGUGUUUGUCUAUUUCUGCAGGGGGUUAUCAGGAAAUAUGGAAGAAAGGCCCACACGUCGGGUUUACAUAGAGAUAUUAACGUGCCACGUAAUUUUCUAUCAUCUAGAAGACUCCAGAAGCCACGGGACUGAAGCGGAAGCCGAGAGGCCUCAGGGACAGGGCGCCCGCCCUAGUCCUGAGGGCGCCCGCCCACCUCUUUCCACCAAUCAAGGUGAAGUUCGAGGAUCAUGCUCCACCGACCUAAUACUUCAAGGAAAACCACACGAUCAAUGUCGGUUUGAUCCGACGGCCCAGAUUCACUUGAAGGGACUAUAAAACCAGACCCCCCUGGCCCCUGGAGAUCAUACCUCUUCUACAGAAUCAAAGCUAGGGUUUCAAUUCUUCAUCCAAGU